CUGUUUAGUUUGGCUCCUCAUGAGUUUGGUGUUGUCAGUCCACUGAACAGUGGUGGCACCUGAACUUCUCUAAUAGCUGCAGCCUCAUGGUGGGACACUGAGUAACACUGGUUGACUUGGGGAAUGCCAAGGACCUUGCCUGGGAAAGCAUAAGGAGCAGAUCAUGGCUGAGGUAACCUGGAAGACAGCUCAGAAAAUUUGUUUCUACAGCCAGGUCUACUUGAUGCAGAGCUGUCACUGUGCAAGUCCUCUCAGAUUCAAUGCUGAGGCUUGCAAUGCUGCUGGUCCUAAAUUUUUUGGGCUCAGGUGGGGUAGACUUGUUAUACUGGAAGAGAUGAUGAUGUUGUUCUCAGCCCGCAUCCUGUCUCUGGCCCUGGUCAAAGGCAGGUGCUUCAAAACAAAACAAAAACUGUAGGUGAAAGUGAAAUAGAUGGCUAAAAAGUAGCCAGGUCAUAUGAGAAACUUUCUACCAAAACAUUUCAAGCUCAUGUUGGCUUGUGCCCGAGUCAUGCCUGCUCACCAGAGGGCUUUGUGAUGAGUUGUAGGUGGCAGAUUCCAGCUAGUUUACAGCAUCUGAACACAUAAAUCUUUCCUUUCUUACCCCCCAGUAUCCAAGUGUGUGGCCUUUGCUACUUCAGUGUCUCUUUUAAGCAGCUUAAAAGUUUUUCUAAGUGAAAUAUGCUUCUGUGCUGCAGUUCAGAGAUAAAUAUAGCUGAUGAGUUGAAAGAAGACCAUAGUAUGUGCUAUGUUGCCUUACCCAGUAUUUUUUUUUCUUUUUGUGGUGAUUCUGUGCUAACUCAAAAUGGAAAAUCUCCUGAAAGAUGUUAUUUUUCCUUUUUAAAGAAAUUACAGGCCAGAAUGCCAUUCACUGCCUUAAGCUGCAUCCAGUAAAGGAUUAACUCUCCACCCCUCUCCACCAGCCCAGUGCUGUGUGUUUGGAAAGCGAGUGCAUUUGUAGCUGAGCCAGCUCUAAUAAUAAUAAUUAGUGUUGAGAAGCACAGAACAGCCUGUGAUUAGCAAAAUAAUUAUUGCAGAGUAUAUAAAUUGAGAGGUGGGGUUUUGACAAGGCAAGAGGACUGCACACUGCAGCUUCCUGGGGCAGCAGUGGGCUCCUGUCUUCCUGUUGAUGUUCUCCCUGUAAAGUUGGGUGCAGGAACUGUGCAGAGCAAAACAUGUUUGUAAAAUGAUGAUUGCUUUUGAGUUUUUCCAGUAAAUUCUGGUGAUGAAAGAACAGCCAAAAAAACUUGUAAAAAGGAGUUUUACAGCAUGCUAGGCUCCCUGGGGUAUUUUUUUUUUAAUUUGGAUGCAAUUAUUGGAUAUUAUUUCUUUGCUUGCUGGGAGGCCAAACUUUGACUAUCUGUUGGCUCUGUAACCUAAAACAUAGCCUAGGUUCUGUAACCUAAAACAUAGCCUAGGAACCCUUCCAGAACUUCUCCUUCAUGGGUUCUUGUUCAGAUCCUGGUCAGUGGGAUGGAGAAAAUGUCUCUAUUACAGGAGUCUGCUCUGACAUGUAUGAAGACAAGUUUUCGGCUCAUAGCUGGUGACUUGUUGCCUUAAAAUCUAAUCUGUCCUGCUGCCUAAGAGUGAGCAGAGCAUUUUACACAGAGCUUUCCCCUCUAUGCUUGGUCAGCAAGGGCAGAGUUUCUCUGGGGCAGCUGCUGCCAGAGCUGCUGGCACAGAGCAGGUUGGGAGGUGCCACAGGGCACACACAGUUGCCAUGGGCCAUCACUGGUGCAAAGCUUCAGGGUAGAGCUCACCCCAAAGGCAGACCCAGCAUCAGGGGCUGUUGGAACUGAUCUAGCCCAAAAAAACCCACCAAGUCUUGGGAGAUGCUUCCUGAGGAUGGUGGCAGGACAGGCAUCCCCAGACAACUGAUCUGUGGAUGGACCCCUGCCUGGGUGCCGCUCCCUAUGUACCCUCCCUUUUUGUAACAUAAUCUGUCUGCAAAUAAAUAUUGUCCCAAUGGAAACAAGUCUCUAAACAAAAGAGACUUAAUUUUGGCUAAAAUGAAUAGGGGGUACUUUUAUGUCAGUCUAAGGGAAGCCAGAUGAAUCUCUUCCAGACUGCCUUAAGUGUUUGCAUCGGACUUGUACAAAUAGGGCUUCCCCCAUGAUGCUUGCUACUGUAAUAGACACAUAAUAAUAAUCUUUAAAUAGUGCCUUAGUUAGGUUUGUUUUACUUGAGACAAGCAGGUGGAGUGCAUCCUUUGAUCCUUCCCAUCCUUUGUUUGUUGUGAUCUUGAGGUUUUUUUUCCUGUAUAUUUUUCCACAAUGAUCAGAAGGACAUGUGUGUCCGUGCACAUAUGUGUUUGUAUGAAUACACAUGCCACAUAUUCACACACACUUACCUUAAGCUCUUUUUCUGUAUUAUAAAAUACAUAGCUGCUUUUUCCCAUGUGUCAGAGACAGCUGGUAUUGCCUGCAUCCAACCAAACAAGCCACUGAGUUCAUACCACCAUGUAAAGUUCAGGAAACCCAGUGAACGUUUUUCUAAUAAGAGGAUAUUCUGGCCCUCUUGAUAAUCAGCCCUCCAUUGUAAAGUCAUUUUGAGUCAGAGGUUUAAAUCUUUGUUCCAGUGGAAAAGAUUUUUAUGGGCAGCACAAACAGGCAUUACAUUCUGGGUAUUUUUUUAGCAUAGUUGCUUAAAAUAGCACAGAUUCUGAAUCCAAGGGAAGAGAGAAAAGUUGAAACAAUAGAAAUCAUGGUCUGGUGGCACAAACCUCGCCCCACCCCAGCCCCUGAUAGAAAUUUGGCAGUGGCAGCAGGCUGGGUUUCCUUGCCAUGAGACACUGAAUCACAUGCUGGUGGUUGCUUUGGGUUUCUGUCUCUACUGGUGGUCAUCCUGCUUUCAUUUUGAGGAUGUCAUAAUAUGGCUUUGGAAGUCAAAAGUAUGCCAGUUUUAUGCAGAUCUAUUCUCCUGCUUCUUGCAUCCCUCUUGUAUUUGCAGGCAAAAGGCUUUUCUGGCAAAUGGGCAUUUUGGAAACAUGUUGUCCCCAUGAUAUUGAGUUUUGACCCCUUUUCCUUUCCCUUCUUUCAUACUGUGUGUAGGACAUCCCCAAAUGAGGCCAGUUCCUCCCACCAGUGCUUCACAACCAAUUCAUUGUCUUUGUUUUCAGUGGCUGGGGUUGCCAUGGCAGCAGCAGCCCUUGGGAUAAUGAUUUUGUCAUGGCAGAGAAACGGAGUCCACACCUCGGGGAAGGUGUGACUUGUGUGUUGAUGAGGUGGCAGAUGGCUCAGAGGAGACAGUACCCAGGUCAAGGUGAGCUGGGAAAUCUCUCUGGAUUUUCCUGUGCGGUAGAGGAUGCUCCUGGGCAUGCGGUGGGUUUUGCCAGCAGCAUUGCAGCGAUGGAGCUCAAAGCUCUUAAAUCUUCUUUUGCUCUUCAUUCCUGAGCAGUCUGGUACUGAAUGGUGGCCAUGCAUCAUUUUCUGCUUCCCCUUCUCAUCAGAUGCUGGUGCUGGUGCUGAUGCAGCAGCUGGGUACACUCAGAUGUGGCAUCACCCUUGCACCUGCUGUGCUGCAAGUGAUGGAUGUGCUGCCUCCAGAGCAGCCUCUUCCUUAUCCUUGCAGAUCCUUGGUGGAACCCUCUCCUGGCAGGUGGGAAGGGCUCUCUCCUCUUAUCUGCCCCCAGCUAUCUCGGUGCAUACCUCUGCUGUAAGCACUUCACCUGAGCAAACAAGAACAGCACUUUGAUUGCUGCUUUAUCACACGGGAAUGGCAGCCGUGGUGCAAAGAGCUUUUACACCCAGCAGGGGCUCAGAUUGACAGUCCUCAGUCCCGGGCACUUCUUUUGUUCUCCUGACCCUGAUACUGAAGCAUCUUUCCAAAAUUAAAAUGUGACAGCAAUCUUACUGUUUUCCCUAAAACAGUCCCUGAGGAUGGGGAGGUUACCAUCUGGAGCUGACGCAUUUAUUAUUGAUGAUGCCUUUAAAUGAUUAAACUAAUUUUCCUUGCAUUAUUUAGGGAAAUUAUGAUAUUCAUCAUUAAUGAAAGAUGUCUGGGGAAAUGUGUGAUUCAGAGCUGCAAAUACCUUCUCUCCUCCUUUUGUCACUUGCUGCCUGUCUUCUCCCAGCUCUUGUUUGACAUUUUGGAGUCAAUGUUUGUCCUUCUGUCAGUACCUCCUGCUGCUUUCCCCCUUGAUAAAGGUGACUCGUGGUUGCAUAAGGGUGAGGUGACUUUUAUUCCAGACAGGUGACUUAAUUUUCAGUGUCACCAGGGCUUACAUAAGGGGUGUAAUAAUCUGGAUAAGGAAAUGAGGUUUAGAAACUCUAAAGCACAUUUAAGAGCUCUUUCUAGCAAAUGUUAUUCAUAGUUGUGUUUUAUAAAGAACUUUAUAAAUUACUGUCAAGGGUAACUGAAAGCAUGAACAACCCUGGCAUUAGUUAUGCUUAUCUCCCUGCAAUACGAUGCAGUAUUAUAGCUGGGGUUUAUUGCAAAAUGAGGCAUUGUUAACAGAUAAUGUGGCUGUGCCAGGGUAGAUUUUCCUCUGCAGAAUAUGGGAGUCCCUUUGCACCAAUUAGUUUUACUAGAUCCUUUGCACACAGCAGAAAUACUGUUUACAGGGUGUGAUUUUAAACAUGAAAGUGUAGUUUUUAGCUUACUUGCUGUCCCACAGGACAUCAACAUCCAUCAGUGAAGCAUGGGUUGACCUCCAUAUAGUAAAUUCAGUCUUCAAAGGCAGUUGUCUUCAGUUAUUAAUCUAAAAGCUAUUUUUAAAGGAAGAGGGUAUUUAGAUGGAAUCUCAGUUGUUGAUAUUCAGUCUUUUAGCUGAAACUGUAUGUCUGCCUCAUACAGAGCAGUCCUAAGAGGUGAGGUAGACAGGAGGGAGGAAUGUGAGCUCCAGGCUAGGGAGGUGAGAAGCUCAGCUUCGAAGGGGUUUGUGGAAAGGUUGAAAACUACACUGGGAGUCAGUGCUUUCCUCUAGAGCAAGCAGAACAGAAAUAGCCUUAAGCAAAAAGAAGAAAAAAAAUUAGGUAAGAGGUUCCACCUCUUCUUCAUGCUUCUUCCUGCCUUUACUAAUCUUUAUUUCUGGUUCUCAGACUUAAAAUCAUUCCUGUAGGAGCCUGGAAAAGGGUUCAUGCUUUUGUAACUUCUCCCCAUACAACUCUAUAAGGGAAAACAAUUUCUUUGCUACUUUUUCACUGUGUUCCAUUCAUGUGAGAGGCAAGAGAAGGUAAGAGGUGCUUCUCACCUGAUAUCUCAAGCUUGAGUGCCCCUAUGGUAUCUUCAUGGUGUGAGUGCAGGUAGCACAAGCAGGGACCUCACAGGGGUGUGGCAGCCUGGGAAUGCAGUGAUUUUGGAGUAGACCUGGAUGAAGGUCUCUCAGCAUUUUCUGUGCUCUGUGUUUUGUAGUCCUCAUCCUUUGGACAGGCAGCUGAACCCCAAAGCACUUGGUUAUGCAGGGCACUGUGGUGGUGCUGGAGCCCCGCUCCCUGGCUUUCCCUGCCAAUCCGUUCAAGUCCAAGAACAUAAGGAUUUAUUGUUUUUCUUAUUCCACCUAAUCUCUGUACAGAGGCUCUGUUUAAUAUCUUACCCUUGUUUGAAAUGUGGAAUUCAUCUGCUGCUAUUAUUAUCCCAACACAGAGGGGCCACAAAACUCUUCUGGUUCAGCCUAGCCCAGAUCACUUUGUGCUGCGGCUCAGGGCAGAGGGAUGGGACUGCCCUGGCUACAUCCUCUGCAAAAUAAUGUUUUUCCCCUUAUUCUGCAGCUACAGAGCCUGUUCUUCUAGAAAUUGUGAGUAAGGUGGGAGGGUGCGCAGGUUGCUCUUGGGGGCCUUGUUACCUGAGGAAUCUUUCAUCACCAGUCAUGCAGAAAGUGCAGAGGAGAUAUAAAGUAGUUUUCCUAGCCAGAAACCUCACAUGUAGCCCCACCUUGCUUUUGGAUUUCUUCCCAGCAAACUCUAACCCAUCCCAGGAGCUAAACUGGGUCAUUUCCAGACUCUUCUUGUAAUCUUGUUACCUUCUUGUGACAGACAAAUGACUGCCACAUCUCUAAAGUCACAGCCCUGCACCUCCUGGAAAGCACCUGGCAGCCAGCUGUCCCCUGUGCCAUGGAUAUCAUCACAUUUAUCCCCCUUGGGCUGUGUCUGUGCUGCAGCUGGUCAUGGGGCUGUGCUGGCUUUGCCAGUGCUGAGCAUUGUCACAGGCACGUGGUCCCGGGGUGCAGCACUCCCUCCCUCCCUCCAACCCCUGCUCUGAUGGGGCAGGAAGGGAAAAAUCCCCUGAAUUCUUCACCACUGACUGCAAAGGGCAAUUGUUUAAUGAGAUUUUGGGCAGAGGGAGCCCAAAAAGGUUAGGCUGGUCUGAAUCUGGGCCAUGAGGCUGCACCAGAUGAGUCACGGGGAGAGGAAUAAAAAAAAUCUCUGAGUCAUAAUCCCUAAUACUACAGAGCAGAUUUGCUUUGGGUUGUUUUCGUGUUCCUAUGUGCUGACUAAUGUGCAGAGAAGCAGUGAGAGCCCUUUCUCUGAUCUUUCACCCAUAAAGAAUGCAGCCCCAUGUCCCCCUCCUUGUCCAUGACUUACCCAAGCCUGGAGUCCCAUUGCUUCCCAGACAGCUGAGCAGGACUCACCCUCCUCAAAACCCCCCAAAUUCCAGUGGCAGCAGGGUGGGCUUUGGUACUUGCCCAGCUGAGGGGACAUGCCAGGGCAGGACCACGUGCCAGUACCUGUUUGUGCCCCUGCAGCUCUGCCACCACUGGCAGCAGAGGGACAACCUUGAAGUGCCCCAUCUUGCAAUGGGCACCUGCUCUUUAAAAAUCUCCAAGUGAUUUAUGAAGGGGGUUCAGCGUGGUGGCAGCCACCCAGCACCUACAGCUGAGUGAUGAAAACACACUGAAGUGAAAUGAACUAGCUGCCGUCUCCCUGGGGAUAUUCCUACAGCACCUGUACCUGAGUCUAACAUACCAAGAAAUUUGAAAUUGAUGUAUUUUUAGAGGACAUGUCAAUUUUGCCUUUUUAUUCUGUCACCUAGCUCUCACUGUACUUUCAGAUUCAGAUGGCACCACAAUUCCUCCUGUCUUAAUUUUUAUUAGAUCUCCCCAAAAGACAUGUAUAAAAUCAAUAUUUAUUUAAUAAAAUACACCUGCCCCUAGCCCUUUUCUGCACUAUAUUGGGGCCAGGGAUAGAGUAUUAAACCAAGUCCCUGGGACUGGUCUUGUCAGCAGUGGCAGCAGCAUUAAGAGGCAUCAGACAUCCCCAAAAAUGUGGUUGAGAGGCUGCAGGAGAUCAGGUUAUGGGUAACAGAGUGGGCUCCCCCAAGAAAGGGCAGCUUCCUCCUGGGGUGCCAAGUUUUGGCUGUCUUGUUAUUCUAACUGAUUAAGUUAAUUUCCUGGAUGUGGAAACUGAUUGACAUUUUUAAUGUUAUAUUACUGAUAUAAACUGCUGGUUUAGAGUCUGUAUGAUUUAAAAAAUAUUUUUAAUAUUUUCUUUGCUUAAAGAGUGUAGAAUUGAAAACUGCAUGCACAGCUGUACUUGCUCACACACAGAAAAGUGGUGUGAGAAAUUGUAAUUUCGGUGAGCAAAGUUGUCUGUUGGAAGAUGAGGCUGUUCUUUUUCCUUACAAUGUCCUUAAUCAAUUUUUCAUUAUCACAGGUAUUGGUGAUAGGGUAAAUGCUCCUCCCCAGACAAGAGCUGGUAGCAUCCUCAUCCAGGAGUGGCAGCUGAGAGCUCCUAGUGCUGGAUCUGAGUUCCACUUCCCUUGGGUUUUGUACACCUUAAACUGCUCAGACAGUGACACUCUGCACUGUGUAGUUCCUAUAUUGUUUUGUUUGAGUUUUAUUCCUCCUCUGUAAGGUUAUAUUUUGUUUCCCUGAUUGUAUUUGCAGCCUCUGCAGGAAAAGAGGAGGCAGCAUUUUGGAGGGCAGUGCAUGAUUGGGUGAUGCAGAUAUCACUUAUGGGAGGUUAUAUUAUCCACUCCCUUGUUGCUGGGUACCACCCUUCUGCUGUGCAGCCCAAAGCAGGAAAAAAAAAUUUUUUCAGCAAGAAAAAAACCCCUUUUUUCUGUUUUUUCUUCCCCACUGCCUCCUUAGUACUCCUUCCAAAUGGAUUGCAUUUCCUCAUCAGAACUACAGAAGUUGUGGCUGUGGGUGUAUUCUGAACUUUAUUUUAAUUUAUUUUGCAUCAUUUCACAGGCUCCUGGGACAUCCUAAGUAUGGGUCAAGCCAAGGCAAACAUGAGAUGCCUUGGUUGCUUGUGUGUAGAAAGGAUCUGGUAUGCCUUUGGGUGUGAGGAUAGGGAAUUUGCAAGUCUCUGGAUACGGAUUAUUUUUUUUCUUCUGUUGUGCUUAUGAGUUUUAUGGUUGGAAGGAAGUCUUUGUGUAUUAAAAUGAAAUUUUUAUUUUUUAAAUACUACAGCACUUCUGUAUAUGCAAAGUCUUCACUGACUCGGUAUUUAAUUCUUUAUCUUUCUUAGCCACAUUACAUGUUGUGAUGCAGAUGUUGGAGUAAGUGCUCUUACACUGCUUUGCUGACCUAGAAUGCAGACAGACGUUUUCCAAACCAAAUCCAGCACUUUACCACAGGCUCAUGCCCCCAGCCUGUCUCGUUGGUGCCUUGGGUUGCAGCCUCAGCAUGCUUUGCCUGCUGUGACCUGUGAUGCUGUGAUGGUAGCAACCCCUGCCUUAUGAGCAGGCAGGGAGGGUGAUAAUCUUUUAAAUAAAUAUCCAUCCAGCUGAGCCUGGUCAGGGGUCUGAAAUGGGAAGUGGAUUCCCUUUGCAAACAUUCCCAUCCUUUAUACAAAAUCUAAAUGAAAUGGGGAUACUAAUUAAAUUCAUGCCCUCCUGGCAUGUCGAAGGGCAAAGAGGAGUGUGUUAAAGCAGGUGACACAAUCCCAGCUGCUUUACUGGAGGAGGGAACACAUCACUGCUGCUGGCUUUGAUAGAAUGAGGACAAACCUCUCUAAGAUGCUGAUGUUUCUGCUUUGUCUUCUAUUUGCAUAUUUCCUGUGCUUUCACAGGGCUCCUUGCUUGGAAGUGGUUAUCCAAGCACUAAGUAAUCCUCAGCACUGUGGAGCUGUCAUUGGCUGUAAUUUCUUGUCUUGAAGGGUGUAAGGGCCUCCUGGUAGAUGAGAUUUUGUUGAAGGUGAAACUUCUCCAAGAGAUUGGACAACCUCCACCUGGGACAGCCCAGCCAUGCACAGCAAGUCCUGUCUAAACUCAGCCUCCAGAGUAAAUUUGGGUGCUAUCUGAAUGUGAAUUAAAAGCAGAACUCCUGGUUAUUCCUGACCAGCUGCAGCUGGAGCAUUUUAGGGGAUGGUAUCCUGUGGUUUAUUGUAAUGGGGCGGCUUGAGGUUUGUCUCCAGCUGGUUGCCCCUGAGCUUCCUGCAGGCUGGAGCACCUGUGCUCAGGUUUUCCCCUAUGUCCUCAGUGCCAAUGAGACAUUUCAGCUUAGGUGGAGGCAGUGCUGCAGCUGUUCCUGUGUACAGACAGGCUUUCCCCUCGGCUGAAAGCAUGAAGGCAAAACUGGGGUCCCAAAUUUUUUGGGGAGCCUAAUGCACCUGUCAGCAGAUGUGCAUGGAGAGACCUCCCUGCUUUGGAGGGAGCUGGGGCUGCCCUGGCUGAUACAAACCUGCUGGUCUCAUGAACACCCUUGCAGCUCCCAGCCAAGCUUUACGUUAGAAGGCACUGGAAUACAAGAAAUGAAUCCAUUCCUGUGUCCUGGUGGCUGUAUCAGAGCCACUGGGGUGUCCAGGAGGAAAUGGUGUCACAUGUUGGCAAGGCAGCAGCUGCAUUUGCUGGCUUAGCUGAGAUCUGGUCAUUGAAAAUCUGCAGCUGAAAGGCUGAACUAUGAAUCUUGGACUUGAAAGUAAUUUUUAUCUAAACACAGGGAUUUGAAAGCUGGAAACCUAUCAAAGGUACAGGCAAAGUAUCUGAGUACUUUUGAAAACAAAUGGCUUAGAAGAACACAGUGCAGUAAUCUCCAAAGACAGCCCAAAUAAAUGCUGGAAGUAUUUAGGGAAUAAGGAGCUAGAGUGUCUGGUGUAGCAGAGGGACUUCAGAGCAGUGGGCUAGAGAUGCACUGGAAGGUGGUAGGGACAGCAUCUCUCUAUAUACAUUGAGAAGAUACUGGAUUUAUUGCAGCAUGCAUCUGAAGGGCUUUCAGGAGUGGAUGGGGCAAUGGAGCCUUGCUUGUGGUGACCAAAAUAACAAAAAUCAGUGGAAAGCUCUGGGAGUUCUUGUCCUUGGAGGAGUGGGGUUGUGAUGCUGCAUGGAUCAUGAAGGUCUCUUCCUUAGCCUCAUGAGCAGCCAAGGCAUAUAAUCUCAUUAACAAAUUUAUCAAGCUGCAUUUUAAGAUUGAUUGGGCUGCCUGCCCUGUAACUGCUGAAAGGCAUCCAGAGCUUGGAAGGAGCAGGGACCUUUGUGCUGCAGCCUGAAGUCAUUCACAGGCAGCUGAUGCUGAUUUGUUCUUGUGUCAGUGCUGUCCUUAGCUUAAAUCCCUGUUUCCAUGAUGCAGACAGCAUACCUCAUACCUUUACAAACCCCCUGAGCUGCACAGGUCUGACACAGGCAGCUCACUCAAUCUGUCCUCUCCUCUAAGAAGGUUUUGUCAUUCCCCUCCUGCUUCUAACAGCUGGGUCCUCUACCAGGCUCUGUUCAAACACAUCCUGCUUGGACAUGAGCUCCCAGGGGGAACGUAGCACCUUGGAGCCAAGGUCUGCUGCUCCUGCUGGGGCAGCCUGACAUCUUUAGGUCUCCCAGAAAUACUUUGUCCUCCAGCUGCCAGCAGAGCCUCAUUGCCCUUGAAACCCUGUGUGCUGACGUACCUGUUCACCUGCACUCACCUGCAGAGAGAGUUAGAAUUUCUAGUGAGACCAGCCUUAGCUAAAAUCAACCUUCACCCAGCUCUGGUACUAAGCCCCAAGCUUGGUGGCUGUGGGAGAGGCAGUACUUAAACUGACCAACAAUGAAAACUGUUUGAUUUUCAUGAUUUUGUCUUCUUUAGCAGGAUUGUUCAUCAAUGUCAUAGAAUCCUAGAAUGGUUUGGGUUGGAAGAGACCUGUAAAGGUCGUCCUGUGAAGUCCAACCCCCUUGCUGUGGGCAGGGACAUCUUCAACUCUUAUCAAGCUGCUGAAAGCCCCAUCCAGCCUGGCCUUGAAUGUUUCCAGGGAUAGGGUAUCCACAAUUUCUCUGGGCAACUUUUUCUAGUGCUUCAAAACUUCUGGGGAACCUGUUCCAGUGUUAAGCAUCUUCAUUCUAAAAAACUUCUUCUUUUAAUCUAUAUCAACCCUCUUUCAUGUUAAAACCAUUGUUCUAUCACAACAGGCCUUGCAAAAAAGUUUGUCCCCAAAAGGAAUCAUAAGCGGUAUAAAAUCCCCAAUACAUGUUAUACAAAGUACAUAUAAUAUAAAAGCUUAUUUAUUUAUGAUGGAACUCUUCUCUGUGAUGACUAAGAAGAUGCAGUUGUAAUUCCAUGACGGUUUUGUUCGUAAUAGACUUUCUGCUCCUUAGCUGAAAUUUUUGCUUCAAAUUUUCUGCAGAUUUUGAGUGCUUCAGUUCUUUGUUUAAACUAAUUGCGUCUUCUUAAAUGGGGGUCACGGGGGUUGGAGUGAAACACCAAAGCUUUUAGGCAGUGUCAUGGUUCACUUGGCUUUCCAGGGUGCUCCUCAGCGCUGGGGGUUUAUUGCAGCUCCAGCUCUAAUGCACUCAAGUCAGGACUAGACCCUGCUGUGGAGGGUGAGAGAAGCUUUUUGCAGUGGUGCAGUUUGCAGUAGCCAUUACUCUGUUAUAGAUAAGGGGUGUAUCUGUCCAGUUGUACUUGUGGUGACUAUAGUUUGAGGCCCAUCACACUGGCUGGCCCUGAGGAUUGAACUGUCAGUGCAGAGCAGAUGCUGACAGGGGCCCUUGCUUUCCAUGCUUCAUUUCAUCUGUGUGGAAGGAAAGGGGAAGCAAAAAAGGAAAAGCCAGCAAAAACAAAAGCAGAAUUUCUGCUGCAGCUGUUUGAAACAAUGAAUGAACCAUGAUGUGAUGUUGUGGGUAUUUGUUUCAUUUUUCACCUCAUUUCCUCAUCUAACUUUUAUUGUCUCUCAGUCUUGGAGGUGGGAAGGUCCACUGUCAAGACCUGAUGCCUUGUCCUGAAUCCAGACAUCCCAUUACCCCAUUAGCUAGAGUGGUGGAGCAAAACCACAAGAAUAGAGAUAUCUUAGAAAAAAAUAUGCCUAUAUAUCUAUCCGGAAGUAAGUGGUUGGUUUAAGCACUGGCCUCAUGGUACAGUGGACCUCUGGAGGCUGUAGCAGGUGAUCUCCCGGUGAUGCAACCCCUGUGGUAGAUGUUGUCACCUCUGUCAGCUGCUUGCCCUGCAUCCUGGAGGCUGCUGUGCUUGCCAUGGGUGGCAGAAGGGGAGCUGUGUCAGCUUCUCAGCUGCUACCAGUCAAAGCUGAGGAAUUAGUUUAAACUGUUGAUUUAAUUAAGCUGGAGAACUCAGCAAAUAGUUUGUGCAUGCCAGUAAUGGGUGCCAGCAGGAGUGUCCUCUCACUCCUGCCAACCGCGCGCUCUGCUCUUCAGAAUAUCUGAGAACCGGAUGCUGACUAAGGGUGGUGGUUGGGUUUGAUCCCCUCCGGUGAUUUUUCUUUCAUCAUGUUUAAAAAAAACAUCCCUUUCACUGGGAGGCUCAUCACAUGGUCUUUGAAGAGUUCACAUUCUUCAGAGUUAUUCCUAGUGAAUUUAGAUGGGCAGAGCUGUGAUCUUUAGGUAUUGUGCCUGAUGUGCCUCAAGCCAUCCUAAUGAAAAGGACAUUAGUGUAAAGGAACCACUUAAAAUAGUAUACAAUAAACUAUCACAGACUUCUGGGCUUCCUGCUUGAGGGCUUGGAUUUAGAAGGCAAUUUCACAGAGGUCCCUUUCUUAGGGCAUGUGGAGAAGGAGAGUGGCAGGAAAUGGUGGCAUUAAGGCAGUUGAGGAUCACAGAUUCUCUCAUCCCCCAGUACCCCACAAAUGGGGCUGUUUGUAGCCCUUUAUUAUGCUGUGUUAGGGUCUGGAGAGAACAGACUCCUUUCAUCCUUCCCAUCACUGUGUGGUCUUCAAUGAUUUUACGCUGUUGUGAGUGUUCAUGAGAAGACAGGGAGAUUGGAUGACCUCAUAUCAUAUUGGGUGCAUUGAUACACAUCUCUAUGAAUCGAACUGCUUCAGCUCAAGGAAAAUCAUCAAUUUCCCUUGGUUUCAGGUCCUUACUAGUGGUGUUUCUGUUGCAUGAACUGCAUGGGGCGGCAUGUGGCAGCUGUGCGUGUUUCCAAAUGUAGCUGAGAAUAGUUAGACCUCUUGAAAUAAAGUUAAAGUGUUCUCAGAGCUGAUGCAGAUACCUAGCUUUCUGUUCGCAUCCAGCUUGAGUAGCCGGGUAGGCUGAGGUUGGCAGCUGUGAGGAAAUGCAGCCUUGAGAGGGUGAGUUCCUACACAGAUUUGCCCUGUGUCAGGGAGAGCAACAGCUACCAGUUAAAUGGGCUUUGUUAGCUCAAGGCCAGAACUUUGGUAUGGCUCUGGAAAGAGCAGGCUGGCUUUGGCAGGUUUGGAUAUCAACAUGAUGCAUUUCCUGGUGGUAGGUGGUGGGAAAGCCCACGUCUGCUGUGAAAAGAACACUCUUUCCUUGGAAAAGUGUUUACUGAGAUAGCGAUGAUGGACAAGUCUCUCGUGAUAAACGUGACUUCACAGAUCGUGUUUUCAGCCUCAUGGAAAAAAUAGAAAAGGUAUCUAACACAGGUCUGGAGGUUUGAAGGUAAUGUGUUCUAAAAAUAAAUAUUAAGAAUUAUUCUUGAUCUUGGGCCAGGUGGUUUCAAGAUCAAAAUCAAGGCCAAGGCACUUCAGGUUAGGUUUUCAGGUCAUUUUUAUUGGCUUUGUUAAUUCAUGCUGCUUAUGAGGUAGGAAAAAAUGGGUACUCUCUAGAAGGAUCUUGCCACUUUCUUCCUGAAAAAAUGCUCAUAAGGUUUUCUGACUUUUCUGCCAGAUGCACCAGUCUGCUUUGAUAUACCAGUUUAUUCAUUGGGAAAAACUAGUUUUUGGUGCUUUUUGUGUAAUCAAGAGUCUUGUGACAUUGUUUUGGUGUGGUGACAUACAUAUAAUGACAGUACGUGAUUGAAUUUAAAAGGCUGUAGGAGGACUUUAAAAGACAGAUAGCAAAAUAUAUAAAGAAAUUAGAAAUUGCCAUUAAUGUGACCCCAGAUAGGCAAACCAAAAAUGUAGCAAAUAAAUAGCUGGAAUCAUUUCUUCCUGGGUUUUCUGACAUCUUAAUGGCUAGCUCCAGCACUUUGGAUAGCUUGGAAUUCCAUCCUGCUGGAUGGCAGAGCUGCAGUGAGCACAUCAGCUGGAGCCACCUUGGCCCUGGGGAGGAUGUGGAAGAGACCAAAACCUGGUUAUGACCAGGCCUGCACAUCCUGAUCCAGUACAAGAGGCAGUGAGAGCAUUUUGAUGGAACCAAGAUCAGAUUUGGCUCUAAACAUUCUCUUGAUGGUGGCUUCUGGUGCGUGCCUCUGAGGCUGAUGAUUUCUGAUGUUUCCUCUCUGAAUUUCCCAGUAUUUUGUUGCUGGCUCUCAGGUCCUGAGUCUGUCAAGCUUUGCUCCCAUGCUGGAGAGCCAGAGAAUUGGAGCUGAGAAAACCACUGGAGCUUUCUGACGUGCUGGUGCUGUUCCCUGGUGCCCCUUUUUGGGAAGGGAACAUCAGUCCCCUGCCUGAGACAGCUGGGCUUUUGCUUCCCCCAACAUGGAGCCAGCCUAUGGAGGGGUUGAUGGGGCUGAGCACUUCAGGAGCCACCAGGGAUAGGAAGAAGUUCUUUUUUGCUAGGAGAACCUGUUCUGAUCCCCCUAUCACUGGGGAUGGCUUUGGGCAUGGGGUCCCCCUCUCCUUAGCUUACUGUCCCAGAAGGACAUAACUCUGAUCCUGGGACCAGCUGGAGCAAGCAGCCAUGGCAGGGUUUGUUUUCCCAAGAUAAUCUCCUAUCGGGAACGCGACUCGGCAGAUGUAGGUGAAAGGUGAUGCUGGCACUGCCCAGGUUGGCUGCCACUCUCCAGGCUGAGUCCUCAGCUUUUUAUAUCCUUGCUGCAUCACACUGCAGCUGCUACCCUCCUCCCUGUGCUGAGGAUCAGCAGGCAGGGGAUCUGAGCACCGUGUCAGCUGCAGGAGCAGUGCCAUACACCGCAGUGUUACCACAGGGUUGCAUCAGCCACAGACGUGUCUGACCUGAUAGCCCGACUCACAAAUAACCAGUGUUGGGUCAGAGGAGGGCAGGAGUGUCAUCUUCUUGAGAGAAAAAAAAAUUAAUCUCCUAUAACAUUUUAAUUAUUGUUGCUGUUUUUUAACCCUGAAUCAUGAAGUUUACUUGUCAGUAUGCCACUUCCUAUUAUGCUCUUGAUGCGUUUCUUAUGAUACUUUUGAUGUGUUUCAGUGCCCUCUCCUUCCUCCUUUUCUUCUUCUCUAACCUUGGAGCUUCUUUACCAACUAUAUUCUGCAUUCUGGUUAUCUGCUGUGAGUACCAGCUCUGCACUUGCCAUCCUAGGUAAAUGGGAAAGGGGUCUGGAAAGGGCACUGGUUUCUGCUGCAGCAUCAUCCCCUGGAGAAUUGAAUUCAGUCUAGGAAGCAGACUGGCGAAGAGGAUGUCUUAAUGAGCAGUCUUCAGAAAGAAGUUAUUUCAGGUAUUUCAGCCAAAUAGCUCUGAGGACUUACAAACUGGGGCUAACAGUACCUUCACUUACACAAAGAUAGUGUCACUCUCAACAAUCUCUCUCCAUUCUUUGUGAUAAAAGAUGGACAUGAAAUCAAAUCUUCUGUCUCUGGAGCAGAUCAUGCCCAUGACAGAGAAAUCCUGACUCUGUUGGAGGGAGAGGCAGAAGUGGCACUGUUUGCUCCCAGCGAGGGUAAGUCAGAUGCUUAAGUAAGGCUGGGCUUCUCCCAAGCAGCUCUUGGGAAGGAGAGACAUAAGCUGAGGCAGCAGCUUCUCACAUGGGUGCAGUGACAGGUGGAUCUGCUGUUGGUGUUUAGGGUUUGCACAGCAGGGAGGAGACAUCCUUGACUUCACCUCUGGGUUUGGUAGACUUUUCGGUGGGCCUUCCUUCUGCAGGGAGGCUGUGUGGAGGGAGGCUUUGGCUGAGUCUUGGCGGUGGAGCCAUGGAAUUGGUGUACAGUCACUGCUGCAGGACCAGUUGUACAGGCUCCAGGUUUUCCCUCUGUAUUUAGUGAGUUCAAGCUGAUAUUUAAAUAGCUUCAUCGGACCCUAGGUUGUUUUUUUUUUUUUUUCUGAGCAGUCAAAGAGCACUCACCUGCAUUGCUGCCUUUGGAGGGGCAGCAGUGCUGCCAUCAAUGGGGCUGUGGCAGAGCAGAGAGCACAGAAGUGCCAAACCUGGGGGUGUGUGGAUGGAGAGCCCGGCACCCUCCAGGGCAGCAGCAUCAUCCCUGCAAAAGAGAAGAGGCCUUUUGGGCUUAAAGCAUUGGUGAAUAUGACUCUGAGCAACCUGAUGGAGUUGAAGAUGUCCCUGCUCCUUGGGGGGUUACAUUAGUUGACCUUUAAAGGUCCCUUCCAACCCAAACCAUUCAUUGAAUCUCUAAUUCUCUGACUGUAAGUUCUCCUGAGUCUCACAGGCUUUGUAUGUAAAUACACUAUUUAACUGCAUUCCCUAUAGUGAGUGGUAUGUGGCUAGGAAUUCCUUUGAUGCCUUUAGAUGCUAAUGUAGUGAUAAAACAAUCCCUUCUUUUUCCCUUGUUUUUCUCACAGCAUGUAAGCUCUUCAGAAAAUCAUGUCAUUAAGUAUUUAAGAGCCUAGAAGUGAUUAAAAUAAAAAUAUUGUUAGCAAUAAAUGAGUGAGAAGAUGUGCAAUACUUUGUCAGUCAUGGAAUAAAAAUUUAGAAAUAUUCAGGAUACAGGAAGGCAAGUUGAAUUUGUGAGCACAUUCAGGCAUCAACAUAAUGGCGAUUAUUUUAUAUAAUUAUAUAAAAAUUAUUUUAUAUAAUAAUAUAUAGCCUCCAUCCUAGGGAAGUUAUCCAUCCAUGCAGCUGGGCUGGACCCUGGCUGAUGCCUUGUUUGUGUGAGGUGCAGGGUUGGUGGGAGGCAGCUCCAGGGUGAGGAGCAAACAGCUGAUUCCCUGCAGCUCUGUGCUUGUUUUGCAAAUGUGGAGAGGGCUGUACAGGAGCCAGAUGUUUUCAGAGGUCUUGUUUUUUGUGUUUCUAUUUUCUUCCUUUUGAGGUGGCUGCAAUAAUAUUCACUAAGGAUGGAGGUGAAAGCAGAGUGGUAGGAAAAGAGACUUGGUAGGACUGUUUUUGUUUAGCAGAAUGAAAACUAAAUUGGUGCAUGGUCAGGAGUCUCUGUGAGUAUAAGACAGUGAGCAAAACAUCUGUUCACAAACACAUGGGAUGGGACAGGUAGAGCUUGACUGCAGUGCCUGAUAGGAAUCCUUGCCUCAGCAGAAAAAGGAUUUACUCUUGGAUAUCAGCAGAAAAAUGAGUCCUGGCCUGUAACUUAAUAGUGUAACUCUGUGAUGCAAUAAAUAGAACAUUUCCAUGCUGAUUUAAUUAAAUCAAUGCAACAUCUAUGUUUAGAUGAAGCCAAGUCCUACACUGUUACAAAACUUUUUCUAAUAAUAGUAUUUUUUUCAUCUCAUGAAGGUACUCAUCACUGAGAUGCAUGUUAAAGCUGCCUGCAACAGCAGGGCAGGCAUUUAUUUGGAUCUGACGGCUGGAAUGAGUCAAGAUCAUUCCAUGGGCUUUGGUUUAAUGGCAAACACUUUGUUAUUAUCUACUGAAUAUUGAACAUGUGCCCUUAAUAAGAAGGACCUUUCAAAAAAGUAACAGGAAGACAGAGCCCAAUAUGCCAAAAUGUUUCUGUGCUGGUAUUCCCAGUGCUGUUUUGAAAUCUUCACCUCAGUUGCCUUUGCAGAGCCUUGUGCCAAAUCUGGAGCACGUGGGGCUUCUCCUGGGCUCCACGGGGGUGCUUGGACCUCAAGCCAAGUGUGACAGUGCACAGAGAAGUCAUUACCACUGGGCUUCUGUCCUGUUCUUGCACGAGGAGGCAGCCACCAAGGAUUCAGCUUUUAAAGGAGCCAGAUAUUAAGCUGGAAAUGCGUCAGUACUGCAAGGGGUGACUUAAGCUCAUUAAAAAAUGUCUUUUUCCUUCUUGGCCUUUAGUCCCUCACUGCUUCUCAGCAGCUUUGUGCUGAUUUGUUUUGCCCACAGUAAAUGCUCCCAGCAAGAGCUGAGUGUAGUUUCCUUUGGGUUGAGGAGUUGAGGUCCAGAGGGAUGCAGAGAAGGGCUCAGGAAUGUCCCCUUUUGGCCAGCAAAUCAAUUUGGUGUUCGUGGGGCUGGCACUGUGUUGAUCCAGUGCCACACAGAUAAAGCUUCACCAGCACUGGAGCCAUUGGCUCAGUUUUUGUCCCACCGGUGCCUUCAGAGCACCAAGCCCAUCAUCCCAACUCCACCUUUUUGGAGCUGAAGCAGGGAUGGCAUAAGUAAGGACAAUGAUGGCAUAAAUGGGGACAAUUGUGAAUCCAUUUUAAUAGAGGGAUUUCAGGAGGCUGCACUGGUGGGGGGUUGAUAAAAGCAAAUGUCAACUGCGACCAACAUGCCUGGAGUUGGUUGGUUUCAUCUUUGAAAAGUAAGGGGCUGGUGUCUUCUGUUCUGUAAUUUGUUUGGUUUUUUUUUUUUUUAAUAGCAUCCAAUUAAUCUCUCUGUUAGGCACUUUUAUAAUUUUACCACAACUCCUUUGCUCUUGGAGUGAUGUAGUCUUGUGAGAAUUUCAGCAUUUAUUUGACUACAAAGCAUGUUGUUAGCCUGCAUGGUGACAACCUAGAUCCUGAAGGCUUAAAGAAUAGAUCUGAGAUAAAGAACUGAAAAUGUAAUGAGCAGGAGGAUUAUUUUUGCAGCUGGCAUAGUGAUUUUUCUUUCCUUUCGUUGUUAGCUGGUAGCUAAUACUGUAGACUGAAAAUCAUAAACAAAAGGUAGGAAAAAGUGUCUGCAGGGUUCAGACUGAGCCCUGCUCUGGGAAGCUGGGAUGGUUCACAGUGACCAAGCCAGGUGUGGGAGCUGUGGGUCAUUUUGGCCAAGGCACAAAGCGAGUUUGCAGAAAUUCCCAGUUUUCUGUGAACUGCAGCAGUGCCCAGCAAGGGAACCUGGCACUGGGUUGUGUGUUGAUGUGCAGUGGAGCAGCUCUGGAGAUGGAGCAGCAGCUCCGUGUCAUACAUGUGAGAGCACCUUGGUGGGAUGGUGGGAGAGCCACUGGUGGCAGAGCUGCUCUGUACCUGCAUUAGGGGCCAGGGAAAAGAAAGAGGCUCUUGCCUGAGCCUGCUGGCAGGUGGGAGGUGAAAUGGUGCCCACCUCAGUGUGAGCAGUAGGAUGGAAGGGCCCUUCCUUCACCCAGGCGUGGGAACCUGGCUUUCAUCUUGAUGCACAGGUCUUGACCUCCUGUGGUAGUUGAAGCUGGUGAUAGAAAUAGUGGAUAUAAUUGAGAGCCUAUUUUAAAAAAGCAAACAAACAAAAAAAGUGCAAAAAUCCAUUCCCUCAUGCACUUGAGGAGUUACAACUUAUCUCCGCAAGAUUAGCCUUGGAACCAGCAUUUCUAAAAAACACCAGAAUGCAGAAUCUCCUGCAAGAGCAGGAAGCAUGAAGUGCUAUCCUGAAGUGCUGUCCCUUGCAUUCCUGUGCCCACUUCAGUGGAUGUGCAGGUCUGAUUUUCCCCUGAUGUACAUCUCGUGCUGUGUUUGGCAGCUGACAUCAGACUGGUCUUUUUUGUGUCUAUUACUGAGUAUCCCACGCUCUUGGAUCAAUGAGUGGUCCAGGUGGAUAUUCUCCUUCUCAAGGAGCCUGAUUGCAUCUCAGAAGGAAUGUGGUCAUUGGCUUGAGCUGCUAGUGGUUCAAGGCUGAAAUAGUCCUUCUUUGUGGACUUUGUUUCUCUGUGACCUUUCAAUUUUUCUGUGUGAGGCAAUCCAGUGUCUCUUAAGAAUCACACUCUUCAGUUCAUUGUAAAACAUCUUUUUCCAAGAGAAGGAUGUGUGGAAUGCUCAUUUCCAUAUUAGAGGUGAUUUUGAUAGCAUGAAAUAGAAUUUUGGUUUUGGUACUAUCACCGAAGUUGGGAAACAUUCAUGUCUUGAAUACUAUCUACAAAAAGGCGAGUUAAUAUUUAUCUACAGAUAGUUCCUUUAGUCUUUUUAUGUAACUGUCUACCAUUUAUCAGGAGAAUAUCUCCUCCCCCUUCUCCAUAGGGAACAUUUUCCAAAUUUUUUCUCUUAAUGUAUUGGUGUCAGUUGGUGCAGAUGGAGAGUAAGGUUAUGAAAUUUUGCUUUGAAAAUGGUCCAAGGUGACAUUAGGUGCUUAAAAUGUCAGAUUGUGUGAUAUUUGCUUAAGAUUUUGCUUUAUGUCUUCAAAAAUGGUUAAAAGAAGGGGGUUAAUUGUAAAGCAUCUUGGCAGUGCUUCAAAUUGUAGUGUCCUAGCUUGUGAUCCUCACGUGGAGUCAUUUUGUGAAGUCAAAAGAGCAUAGUCAUGACCUGCAUCUUGUGUGAGAACUCAAGUUGUAAAUAUACAGCCUUUGGUCACUUGGCUAUUGGUUCAGGUUGGUGCACAGACCCGUCCCAAGUGUGGGUGAGGAGUCCUGGAUGGGUAAGAGGGUCACAAAUUCGUGUGAUGAUACUUUCAAUGGAAUAGCUAGACUUACGCUUUAAAAUUACACUUUAUUGUGAAACUGUUACAAGAGUUCUUGGAAGCAUUUUUAUGCUGCACUUCAUGCCUUACCAAACAAUGCAUCUUUGGGCAGAGUGUAGGUUGGAAUUCCCAAUCUACCAGGCAAUGCUUCUGUGCUUGUCUUUUUUCAUCCCUCCCCUUUUCGGUGGAGUUUGCAGAAAAGAAUUGAUUUUUAGGAUGAAAAAUGGCAGGAUGAGGCAAGAUAAGUGGUUCUUGCCUCCAUCUUGUUUUCCUCAAAUAUUCAGGCUGCACGUGUCUUCACCUGGUCCCAGACUGGAGGAGCAUCUGCAGUGCCCUCCCCUCAUUAAUCAUGUCUCGGCCAUAGCUGCAUUUUCUUUAUCUGGGAGCAAACUCCAGCUCCAGGGACUGCCUGAGAUGUUGGCCAAGCUUGUGAAGCCCUCAAAAGCAGCCAAGUUACUCCAAAAACUUGGUGUUGCUGAGUGAGGAGAAAAAGGCACAGCAGCUUCUACAUUUUUUUUCCUUUGUAUUUCUUUGGGAAAUAAUUGGUUUUGUUAAUUUAUCUUUUAUAAGGACUUAAAUAUUAUGGGCACAUGAUAUAAGAGAUUGUUAACUAGUGUCCUGCCAUAAUUCCAUAAAGCAAACAAGUUCAUGUUUCUUCGCUGAUACAAAACACAAGUCCUGUUGACCCAGAACUCCAUGAUUUUGCCACUCUCACUUCUAUGUCAGAUUCAGUCUAUAGCUGUUCUAAAAUUUCAUGCCUAAGAACAGGAAGCCAAGGAGAGGUUUUUGGAGGUGGCUUGAGCUGAUUCAUCAGCUGGAUGUUAUUGCAGGGGACAGUCUGGGUUUGAUCCUGUCCUCUUCCUUCUGCCAGGCCUGGUGCUGAGCCUGCUUUGGCUCACUAAAUCAGGAGAAUUGAAAUCCCUUGUGGUAGCUGAGAUACCCAUGGCAGCAGACUGCUGCCUUUCAGGAAAUACACCUGCAGCCAUUUGCUGGAGAAUUUGUAAAAAACCAGAAAGGUUGAAUUCUUCUCUUUUUUUUCCCCUUUCUGUUCUCUGUUGAGUAACAUUGACCUUGAUAAGCCAUCUGGGUAUCUGGAGACUUCUGCAUGGAGAUGUAACAAAGCCAUUUUGGGAUGCUCACCUUGUGUUUAGGUGGGAAUUUUGGUGUUGGCAAACUGAGCACAUGCUGCUCACAGUGCCUGGUGGCAGGAGCAGCAGACAUGAAUGCCCCAAUUGCAUUCUUGCCGACUAUAAAGUUACUGCUGGAGCUUAGUGCAGUGAUCCCGAGGUUUAACAUGUCCCUUACUGCAUUUAACUCGCAUGGCUGGGUUGUAAUGAACAUGUUAGAGUGUAAAAAACCCAGCCUUUUCCAUCAAAUAAAACACAAGCACAGAAAACAUCCCUUGUUUUUUAAAAUGAGCCAUUGCACUAGGGACUCUUUAACAUUCAAAAUUUAACAGGUGAGACUCCUUCUCUCUUCCUCAUGUAUUUUUCAACUAAUGAGGAACAAGUCUUUUUACUCUAUUUGUGUGUUUAUUAAUCUUUUGGGGUCUCUCUAUUGCAGGGCACACUUUGCUCAUUGCUGGUUUCCUACAGCUCGUGUUGACAGGUUCUUGCUGCCCUUGGAGAGGAGCCGUGCUCGGGGUGCUGCUCUCGUGUUGAGGGUGAUGCCUUGUUUGCUCAGAGCUGACACGUGCUCAGCCUGUGGUGUUUUUGUAUGUGAUUGAUUCAAACCUUGUUGUGUACAAGUACUGGAGUAGUUCUUGUCAAGGGAUGGGGCAGAUGAAUGUGUUUUUCGAGUGCUGACCCAUGACUUGAAAAAUCUGGAUGGGUUUCAGGGCUUUGCUGCCAACCUACUGCAUGACCUUCAGUGACUUGCUAAGGGCAAGACCUCUACUGUUGGGGUUGGAGAACACACGGACAGUCUGCAAGGAAGACCUUCCCUCCAGUCUGAGGGGGAAGCAGCAGUGGAGUGAGCUGGAGUGAUGUUCUUUCCAGCAGGCAGUGUGCUCAGUCUUAAAAAUCUGGCACAUUUUAAGGGUAGAGUCCAGAGAACUGGAAAGUUGUCAUUUCAGACAUGGGCUGGGCACAAGGGGUUGAAUUUCAUCUGCCUCUCAAAGAGGGUAGCAAUGAGACAGCGUCUUCUCCUUACAUCAGGAGGUGGAAGGUACUGAGGUUCCUCCAUACCACAAAGGAAUAUGCUUAAAAUGAACAUUAAUAAUCUGCCAUUGGUUUAUCUGUUACAGUUGGACUAGAAAAGCCCGUAUGUUUAUAUAAAAACAUAACUUGUGCAAGAUGCUCUUCACUGAGCUCUUGCAUAGCCCCUGAGUCCUGCUGCCAUCCAGCUGGCCUUGAAGGCAGAUGAUGGGAGUGCUGUGAGAGGUGUGGUAUAUGCGAGAUGGGGGGAAAUAUAAAGAUAGAAAACAAAAAAAAAUUACGUUUUCACUUGUUGGACAGUGAGGACUGCUGGGCUCGUCUCCCAGGAGAGCUGAGCAAUGUACAUAUUGACACAUCCAUGUUGGAGCCUGGAGAAAAAGCCCUGCUCGUGCAUCAGGCACAGCACAAUGAGGGGUCUGGGUUGGUGGGACAAGCCUCAUUUAUCUGGAAACAGAGUCAUCUCAGUUUGCAUGCUCAUAUUUUACAGGUAAUUGGUUUAUGGAGAAAACAGUUAGCUCAAGGAUUUUGGGCAGGUGUUCUUGCUGUAGAGAAAUAGGCUUUACAGGCAUUUUCCAUGUCAUAAAGUUAUCAAGAGUGGCUGAGAUUGGCUGUGUAAUUAGUGGGAUGGGAGUUAUUUUGGGAGAUUCAAAUCCUUUUCCAAAAUGUUUUUAUCAGCUCAGGGACUUGGGUCAGAUCUUCUUCAGCUUCAGAUCAGUUAACUGGGAGGAAGUUAGGGAAUAUUUCAUUUCCUAACCCUCCCCAUCACUGGGAACGCACCUCAAGCAAGAACAAGGCAAUUCAGCUUUCUUUUUCAAUGAAUUAGCAGACUUCAAGUCUGCAGACUUCCACUUGUCUUGUACCGAUUUGCCCGCUGGGUUUUGUAACAACAAAAACACUUUGCAGGCACACCAGAUUUUUGUGGGUUAUGGCGUUGUCCCCACAAGCCAGCUUAGCCUGGGUUGGUGCAUCUUUCCUGCAAAGAAGGCAAUUUUGAUUGUUUUCCCAAGGGAAGAAGUAGUUUUGGUUCAAAGUAGAUUUUGUACGUGAGGUGAUAUAAACAUGAUCAAAGUCAGUGGAAUUUUAUUUCAAAUAAACAUGUGAUUCUCCUAAUCAACCCUUUAAAGAGACCAUCUGGGGAAAAAAUGUCAGGGUUUUGUACAUUUAAUUACUCACUUGAUUUUUCCCUUUUAAAUAUCUGAUGACGUUUCUGCUGUUUGAGGGUAGAUAGGACUUUAUUGACACAAUUAGCAAAACAAAUGAUUAUCACACCUUUUCCUUAGCCCUGUCCUAUUUGAUCUAUUUGCUUGCACUUUCAUUACUCCUUUGCUUGGUUACAUUACACACAAUGUUAUCGCCUUCCUGUGCUUCUGCGGCUAAAACAAAGUCAAAAAACCUUUUUUGGCUCUCAGCUGCUCUCUGCUGUUUUCUUUUUACAGAUGAACUAGAAAGCAAUGUCAGGCAAAGAGUUAUUUGAGUUUCCUUUCAGCACUUGCUGGGCAUUAUAUCCGGGCCUGGCACUUGCCUGUGUUUAUGCGACAGCUUUCAUAUUUUAAAAUAACAAACAAAAAUCCCAGCAACUCUACUCCCAGCACAAUUAGUAAGAUCAGAUUAAAAGAAUUGAAAAAACAAACAACCAAAACCCCCCAGAUCAUGAUGGGUUUGUAUACGUCAAAUGCUAGAAUCUUUAUGACUAAUUCCUUGGGUAUUUUGAGCCACUUUGCUGGGAUGUGUUUAUUUUCUCUGAAGGCAGAGGUGGGAAGCGUGGCUCUGUCUGGUCGGAGGUCACAUUGGGUUGUUGUACUGAAGGGCAGAGUGUUUCUGUUAUGUCACUGGUGGGUUGUGCCAGACUUUGCUGUGGGUUGCUGAAGGUGUCAUUCUCCUGAUGGUGGAGAGGCAUUUUCCACUGAGGUCAGGAAGGCAGAUGGUGCUGCUGGCCUGUUGCCUUUCAACCCUUUCCAUCCUUCUCUUCCCUGGAAGUGAAAAUACCUCAUUAGGUUUAGGAGGUGUGGCAAAAAGGAGAGGGGAGGAAAAACUGUUCUUUCACCUGACAAAAAGAAAAAGAAUAGUUUUGGAAAGAUCUGUUGGUUAGGUGAGAACUACUUUCAGUUGUUGGCUUGUCCUCCUCCUCCUUUCACAUUCCCUAGAACCGAUGAGGCAGCUGGAGGUGGUGCUCCAUGCUGUGUCUAUGGUCACUGUUACAUUAAUUUAAAUAAAUCGUGCAAAUUUAAAAAAAAAAACACAAAAAACCAAAAAACAACAAACCCUAAAACCUUCCUUCUGUGCAAAAAUAAAUCAAAAGAUUAAAGUUUGCAAUCCAAUUUUUUGUCCAACGUGGUAAGAACUGUUGUGUAAUGGCCUGUCCCUUUCUUCUCUCUGAAGGUCCCAACCCCAUGUGUCCCACUUGUCUGGAAUAACGUUUGGAGUCUGGCACUCUGGUCCUUUUCGUAGCUCCAGAGGAUUUUUAGGAGUAUGGGGAGCAUGGGAUGCAUGGACCUGUGGACCCACAAAACUCUCUGGAAAAUGCUGGCUGUGGAUAAAAGCAUCUGGAAGUUUCUACCAUCUUUUUCCCCUGUUUUUUCCUGGGUCACCCUGUGUCACUUGUGGCCCUGUCCUGAGGAUUACAGCAUACAGUCACUUACUGGAAUACCUCUCCAUGCAUCUUCUUGAAAUGGAGCCACUGCUUUACCCAGCUGGAAGAUAUUUUCUCUUCUCCCAGAGUUUUUCCAGUGCAGCAGCAGCACUCCUGUCCAGCAGGUCUCGAUUGACUGCAGAAAGGAGAAGGGAGGAGCGUGUCAGAGGGAGGUCAGAUCCUGCCAGGGUUUCCUGGGAAAUGAGGUGUAUCCACUGUUUGGAUGAUGAAACUUGAUGAGCUGCAGUUCAGCUUGGAUUACAGUAUUUCAGAAGACUUUCUGAACUUGCCAGGCAACCCUUCCCCUAGACUUUGGGGACAGAGGAGCUAAAAUUUAUAUUUCCAGUGUCACACAAGAAGAUAGAAUGGAGUUGGCUGCUUUACACAAGUAAUGAAAAUCAAUGCUGUGUUGUUCUUGGAAGGAGUGCUCAAAAGGAGAAAAGCCUGGCAUAUACAUCUUGGUUUAGAGACAGAUUUUACCUGGGAAGAGUGUGCCCAGGGGAAGAUACAAGAAGAAGGGGAAGAGGUGAUGGGAAGAGAUUAUGCUACAAGCCAGCUUCCUGACCUCCAGAGUGGGAUUGAAGCUUUGUAACAAGAUUUAUCUGGAAAGUAUGACUGACAGGAGCAGCUUACUCACCAUUAGAUAAGUAUUGCAGAUGACUCAUGCUGGAGUAUUGAUAGCUGUGCUGCUGAGAUGGAUAUCCUGUUUUAUAACAGCUGUAGUGUGAUGCCAAUAGCCAGGAACCUUAAUUUCACUAUCCAUGCUUUUCUGUGAAUGUGCUUUGGGUCUCUGGCACCUUUUCUUCUUGGUUUGUCCAUCUAAAGGGUUCACAGGGAGGGGAGGUUUUGCUUCCCUCAGUGGGGUACAGGGUAUGGGGCAGCUCAUGUCACCUUGAAAUAAUAGCUGGUGUUGAAAGGCUGCAGCUUUUAUAGCUGUUCUCCAGGACGUGCAAUACUUGUCUUUUUAAUAGAUGCCAUUAGUGACUUUCCUCGAUUCUUUGGGUUUUUUGUUUUGUUUGUGUUUUUUCAGAGCCAUUAUAUCCCUUCUUCAGCAGAACAAACCAGAAGGUGUAGAAACAGGUAAGGCAUCUGCUGUUGCAGCAUGUUGCUUCUGAAUCAUUAAGGGAAAAAUACUGGCUGCAGUAAAGUGCAAAAAAAACCCUGUUGACUCAAUGGCAAAUGAGAGUUGUACCCAAUGUACUGAGCUCCAUGAGAGGCUGGAAUUACUACAUUCAGGGACAAAUUUGCAGGCUACCUGAGAGCACGUGUCUGAACCUCCCUCUGCUUCCAAAACCACUGGCCUCAAGGCUGUGUGAACAGUAGGUGAUGAGAUUUAAGAAGUGAUGAGCAAUAAGAAGGAGCCUGCCCUUGGGGGAGAUGCAAAAGGAGCUGAGCUGUGAAAGUGGGGGAUAUGUCCAGGAUGGCAGGAGCUGCUGGGGAGGUGUUAACCCACAUGGGAUGGCAGGGGACUAAGGUGGCUUUAGCUUGGAUAGGUGCAAAGGGCUAUACAGCAAUGAGGGAAAUUUGGAGUCAAAAGGAGAAAUUUUUCAUGGGAGCAGUGCAGCGAAGGCCAUGCUGCCGGUGAUGGCAGCACAUGUGGCUCUGCCUGAUGUACCUACCUGUGUGUGUGUGGUGUCACCGGGGAUGGCUGGAACCCCACCUGUAGCACACUCUUGGGCAUCACCUGUGGUUCACACCAUCCUUAAACUGCUGAGGAUGUUUGGUUUCCAUGAAGGUGCUGGGCCAUGACUAAGAAGCUGUGGCUUGAGCAGUGUGUCCCUUUCACCAGCAGGAGCUUGGGGCAGGACUUUCCAGUGGGGCAGUGGAGGCGUGUCAGGUGCUGCACAUGAUUUCUCAGCAAAUAUGAACCAGAGCCCAGGAAGAAAAAUCUAGCUUAAAGGUCUCUGCUGUGUCCCAGCAGCAUGAUUUGGGUCUCAGCAUUUACUGUGAGGGUGGUGAGACACUAGAGCAGGUUACCCAGAGAAACUGUGGAUGCUUCCUGUGGAACACUUCAUCCCUGGAAGUGUUUAGGUUAGGCUGGACAGAGCUUAAGCAACCUGAUCUAGUGAGAGAUGUCCCUGCCCAUAGCAGGGGGGUUGGACUAGAUCAUCCUUGAAGGUCCCUUACAACCCAACCCAUUCUAUGAUUCUGUGAUUUUGAUACUUUGCUACACUCAUUGGAGCUUGUGUUCUUCAGGCUGUAACAGCACUUUGGAGUAAAGAACUGGGUCCUGAUCAUCUGUAAAAUAAAAAAAACUUAUUGCAUCUGGCUCCAGCAGAACCCCCUGCAUGAUGGCUUGUAACAUAGUCUCAGUUAGGUCCCUGCCUCACAGAGUAGGAAAUACCUUUAAGGCCUCCUCUGUUUAGGCUCUGCAUCAGAGAUAUUCACAUGCUAUGAAACUACCUCAGGACUAAAUUUUUUUCAGUGAUAAUCUGAUGUGGCUCUUGGUAGAAAGGAUGGGAGUUUGGCAUUUGGGGAUUGUAUAGAUCAGUCAGUGAAUGCAAGGGCCAGGGCAUCAGGAAUUUUACCAGCAAGUUCUUCCACUUUGGCCAUGUCCUCCCACACUGGCAUGUCUAAAAAAGCCCCAAAAUUCUGAUGAAUGCUCUUAACCAUCACUUGGAAAUAUUUUUGGGGUAGAGAAAUGAGAACACUUGUUCCUGCCCCAUUCACCUUGCAUCACUGGGGUCAGGAUGGCAGCUCAGAGGCAGGAUCUGUGCUUCCCCCGUGGAUGGUCUCAGCUCUACAUAUUCAAAUCAAGCACCCAGGCAUGUCACCUCAGUGCAGCACGCACUGAGAGAGGCACAGGGGCUUUCCAGCCCUGCAGGCCAUUAUUAGUAAGAGGGUUUGCGUGUGGUGUGUCUUUUGGUUCAAGCUGUGAACUGCCACCAGGCUCUAAAAACUCUUGGUGAGCCUUGGUAAUAGUAUUGUAAAAACUUUCCGAGAAGCAUAAUAACUUCCCUAUAUAUAUAUAUAUAUAUAUAUAUAUAUAUAUAUAUAUAUAUAUGUAUAAUGUCUGAAGAUGUUUGGGCAUUUGUUAGUGCUGAAAGUUUGCUGACCCCAGCAGAGGGGAUUUGUACUCUUGCCAUCAUUGGGGAAACUCAGGCAGGUAGUGGAUAAGGAUAAGGAGGUGGUUGUUGGGGUUUUGCUACUCUCUCUGUCAGUUUGGGAUGGUGGAUUUGGGGGCAUGUUUGUGGGUUUGGGAGUAGGUAGAACAAUUUAUAGCAACAUCAAUGGCCUGUAUGGUAACUUCAAGAUUGCGCCAGCUAAGCAACCAGAUCAGGGAUUACAGAUCCCAGGGCACCUGAAGUCCAAAUAGGUUUUUAAAUCACGCAGGUCAUUUUAAAAGAGAUAAUUAAGUUUCUGAGUUCCUCAGUAGUGCCUACAAAUGUUCCUGCAAAUGGCUCAUGAAGCACUUGCAGUCUAUAACUUCUGCCAAAGGAAAAUGUGCUAUUAGGUGGAAAUUAGCUGCCCAUGUGGCAUUUUCUGUCUUGGAGUCUCAGGGAGUUUUACUGGGAUGUGUUAAUACAGCUGCGCUGAAGGUACUACUCAUCUGCACGCUCUGAUAACCAUCCUCAUGUGAAAUGAAUCCCUGUGGAGCUGUUUGAGAUCUUGCUGCUCCUAGUUCCCAGCCUACCUGGUUGCCAAAAGCUGCUACCCACAGAGGCAGGGCUAAGGAUGAGCUAAUGAGGUACAUCUGCACCUUAUCCCUUGUUCUGUAUGAGCACAAACCCAUCUUUGCUUACUGGGAGAACUCCCACCAGGUGGGAAGCUGCAAUGUGGCAUAUCUAUUCUGCCACCCCUUACUGGGGCAAUGGAGGAUUAAGGGCUGGAAGUGCACUGAGGUGGAGGCAGUGACAUGUCAGGUGCUGAAGUUAGGCUUUGAGAGCAGUUUUGCCCUCUGGAAGUGUCUGCUUUUUUUGCACUUGACUGGUUGGCAAGGUGGGAGUCAUCCCCCCACCAUGUAGGUCAGCAGUGCAGCUUUUGGUUUAUGCUGCAGCCAGAGGCGAUCUAGUCAACAUUGUCCAUAGAGUUUUAGGUGUGAUGGACCCCUGAUGAAUGGGGCAAAUUACACCUUCAUCUUCCUUGGCUGUGUGGCAGAUUCUUCAUCCCCUGCAAAAGCACCCUGUGCGGACUUGUUUGGAUGCAGGUGCCAAGGCUGCAAACACCUGUCUUUGAUGAGAUGUGGCGUGCCCCAGCCAGCUAACUCCAACUAGAUACAGUAUUUCAGAUGGCUCUAGGAUGGGUGAGAUGAAUCCUACACCUGCUGUAGCAGUGCUCAUGCCCUGGGCUGUCUGGGGAGGGAGGCGGGUGUUAAAGCAAGCUUGCAGUGAAUCUGACUUCCCAUUCUUUUCUGAAGAUGGUGGUCAGAUCAAGGCCAGCUUGGAGAAGGGAAAACUCCUGUAGGUCACUUGCAAUUUGGCAGUGCCUGAGUCACCCACAGUCUGUGCACCCACUGCGUCCGUGACCUGUGGAUGUGAUGGGGAGGCAAAGGAGGACUUGAGGGCAUGGCACGGCACAAGAACAGUGUGGAAUCCUUUCAGGAAUAGUGUUGUUUGAGGCAGUACAGGGACAGUAAAUACUGUCCUUUUCCUCAAAGAUUCAAUUAGUUUUGUGGCAAAGGUUGCUUUCUGUCUUGGCUCAAGGAUUUCAUAAUUUUCACACUUGCCUUCUGGAGGUCCACAGGCCACGUGAGCAUGGGGAGCAAGGGCUGAUGGAUGCUUGGUGAGCAUUCUUACACUGGUGCACAGGGAUGGUUGUGCCAUUGAGCUCUGGCUGCGUCUCUUUCCAGCUCCCAGCACCUUCUCCCUUUUAGAUGAUCCCUGGUGCAGGUGUAUGGGUCUGGCUCUGCCAUCUGCACUGGUUAUGGUGGCAGCAGAUUUCCCCCCUCCAAAAGGGGUUCUCCCUGGCUGCUGCAAAGCUUGAGCAGGGAGCUGCUCCAGCUGACCCUGCUAUUGCAGCAGAUCUAUAGAUGUACUAUGAGCAAGGAGCAGGGGAAGCACCUGGAGACACAUCUGCAUUGGACCAUGUCACACAGCUGUCCUAAUUGGGCAGCAAGCCCGGUCAGUAGGUUUGCACAGCGCCAGUGUCCUGCACGUAUGGCCUCACCAGCCUGUCCCAGACAGUGUCAGCCUGUACAAGAGACUGGUGCUUGUUUGGUUGUGUCUUAAAGCCUUGAUUGCUAUCAGAUCACUACCCCUAGCCUCCCCCAGCUUCAUUUUUCUCUUUGCAUUUGGAGUUGCAGCCUCAGUUGAGUGAAAACACUCAAGCUAAACCCUGUGCCCCAACGGCUGCUCAUCUGAAAGUGCGGAGCCAGCUCGCAGCAGCUGCUAAAAUAUCAGAACUGAAGUGGGGAAUGAAAAGUGAGCUGGUGAUUAAGACCCAAUUUCCUGUCGUGGCCCCACAGUGUUCCUGCCGGCAGUGGAGACAUUGGCAGCAGUGGUGUGAAAUGUCUCAGCCUUCUGCCUUGGGCUGGCUGAGCACUUGCACUGCCGGGUGCUGCUCGCUUGUCUCAGUGCUUUGUGGAUGAUGGUUUGGCUGAGCUCAAGGGGACAAUGAGGAUCCUUUUCAGGAAGAGGGGAAGGGUAGGGAGUCCAUGCAGACUGCUCCUGGCUGAGAUGGUGUUGGAAGCAGCCGUGGUGAGACCCAGGCCAGCCCUGAAGCAGGCUCAAGUUAGUUGUUUUGUGUUGCCUGGAAGACAUGAAAGAGUGCACAAGGUUUAGGAACACUGGGAACACUGAUCCUCUGGAUCUUUUUCUCCUAUCUCUGCCAGUAAUAUUCCUUGGAUCCACUAUUUAGGACUGGGAGAGAAGAAAAUGCAAAAAAGAGAAAUUGCUGCUAAAAGGAUGGUGAAGCUCCCAAGCUGAUGCUGUUUGUUCCAAGGGCACGUGGGUUGUUCACCUGUCCUACUGCUCAGUCCCUCAUGUACCUAAAUGUUGUAAAAGAGCAAAUGCAUUAGAAUUAAUUUAUCUUUUUGGACUUCUUGCAUUAGAAGUUCAUUCAAGAGAAAACAUGAAAAAUUGAGUGCAAAGAUGAUGCUGAUGGCUUUUCCUCUAAGGAAGGCUGUUCCACUUGCACUUACUAACGUGCUCUAUGUGUAUGAGUAUCAAAGGCAGCUUCUGGUUUCAUUCUCACCCUGGAAGUGCAAAUCACUGCUCUCCUGUCUGUGCUCCAACAGCUCCUAGGUCUGUGUUGUAGAACCUGAUGUGUUUCAGCAGUCCAAACCACAUUGAUCGGAGCAGUAAUGUGCAGCACAGAGAUGGGACUUUCUUACACUUCUUCAUCCUUUGAAGAAAGUCAGUUGCAAAACCCUCUGCAAAGACCCCAGCACCCCACAGACCGUGGUGCUUGCUCUGCACUUGGUGGUUACCCCAUUUCUUUCUGUGUUUAAAAGUCAGAGCAGCUCCCAUCACCCACCCCUCUUAAACCCACCAGAAUCUCUCACUAACUUACACUCUGCGAAGGUGAGUUACUGCUUGAUUGGGCAGCAUGAGCGACCACUGCUUGAAACUGUUGGCUUUUGCUCUUCCUGGCUUCCCUUGGGAUCACCUGGAUCUCCUCCAAGGCUGCCCUUUCCUCUGCAUUCAUGCAGCUCUCAGUGUGACUGGCAUGGCUGGGAAGGCGUCUGUUGUAUGAGGUCACAUAAAUGCCCUGCUCAAAUCUGAUCAGUUUGAAGGAAAUGUAAAUAGAAAUGUAAAUGCAUUUUUCACAGAACAAGUAGUCAGCAGAUGGGAGAGACUCUCACAGACAGUGUGGGAAGAUGGGAGGGAAGCUGUUGGGGAAGAUGUGCUGUUUCACAGCAGCCAAGGCAAUUACCCUGAAUUGGUAUCCUUUACUGCCACUACUUUCCUCCAGCCCAGGAGUACUCCUCUGCAGGUGUGCAGCCUGCUGGGGCAUGCAUGGCCAACAUGCAAAAGGCAAGGAAGGGGUGAGAGGGGACUGUUGAUCCUGAGCCUGGCAGAGCAUCACGCAUCAUCUUUCCUGUGUGAGGAGGGGCAGCUUUUUUGUAGAGAAAGACUUCCUGCGCUCACGAAGAGACUUGUGUGAUAUCCUCUGCCAGGGGGAGAGUGGUGUUUUAUACUCCUCUGGUGCUUUUCAUACCAGAGGAGUUCAAAGUGCUUUUAAGACUAUUUUCAUAGUCCUGAGGAAGGGAUGAGCAGUAGGUUUUGCAUGAAAUGUCCUUUCCUGCCAGGAGAACAGCACCCAACUGUGCAGCUGCAGUGCUAGAAGCCAGAGCUUUUCCAACAUAUUGACUUCUGCUUGCCAGUGAAGCAGCACCUCAGCACAGUGUCAUUUCAGGAGUCUGGAGGAAGAGCUACUCAGAAUUGUUUUGAGUAUUUUAGGAGCUGUUUUGAAGGAGAAUGGAUUAAAGGAGAGGAAAUAGUGCAGACAUGGAAGGUAAACAGCUGCAUUUUGAGGAGGCAGGACAAGUAUGGCUUUGAGGUGAUAGCAGGGAACAGACUGCAGAUUAAUUUGUGUGCAUAAUGCCACCAUACAGAUACAAAACACUUCCCUCUUCGACAGAGAGAUCUUUCAUAUCAAUCUACGGAGGAAACAAUGCUUGGUUGAAAGAAACUGCAUAGGCUUAGUCUGGUGGCACCUGGCAUAUUCCCUAGUUCUGGUUCCCCAGGCCAGCAAGGCUGUAGAAAACAUGAAGAAUAUGGAAAACCAAUAAACUUUCUCCUAGGAUCCAAGCCAGAAGAGUGUUCUUCUGGGAUGAUCCAAAUGUCUUUAACUAAACUCCUGCAACUGAGAAUGGCAGUUUUGUUGGCAUCUGUUAGUCGCAGCACAGAAAGACAGCAGAUUGUGUCACCAUCCUGACUUCCAGGUGAUGGUCACAGGGCAGGGAGGCCGAGGCAGAAGCAGAAAAUCUGGUGCAAGAGGAAGGAUCUGCUGUAGUGAAGAGACAUGAGAGAUUGAACAGGAUGAUCCCAGUGUCCAUCCAUGUCAGUCUGUGGAAGAGGACUGGUGUGGGCAGCUCACCAGUGUGUCCUGAUGUCACCGAAGAUGGCGUGCAAAUGGCAGUUCCUCAUGCUGUGGUCUUUAUUUAGAGUUCUGUAGCCAUCCACUAGCCUGUCUUGAAUGGCUUCUCCAGUGUGAUGCCAUGUUCAUGACCUCAUCUACCAAGCAGUGCUGGCAUAUGGUGUAAGUCAGGAACUGCAUGGGAGAGCAACCAGAGGUGACCCGGGCAGGCAUGAGCCAUUUCCAGUGGUCUCCCUGCUGCUUUCUGGCUUUGCUCAGUCUGGUGGUGGAAUAUGUGCUCCCACUUUGCAGUGUGUCCAGCCCAGCCCAGAGGCUGCAGGUCACGCUUUGAUGUGUCUGCCCUUUGCCAGCUAUGCUAGCUUGGCUCGCUUGCCAAGUCCACGUUCAGCAUGGCAAGUGUCAGCAGCAGAGCCAAAGGAUUCCCAGGGUGUGUUGGAUUCUGCUUGCAAAGCCUGCAAGGAGAUGGAAAAGGUCAUUUUGUCUGGGGCAGGGGAGGAGGAAAGAGGCAUAAGGAAUGAUGCCAUGUGGAUUUGUUUCAUUCCCUUGAGGAAAACAAAGCAUCUCUGCAACAACUUGAUGAUCCUGGAGAUCUUUUUCAACCAUAAUGAUUCUGUGAUUAUGUGAUUCUGUGACAGGAGAGCAGCAUGGAAACCAAAACUGAGAUAAGGAAGAGAUAAAAAACUGAGAGAAAGAAAGAGAUAAAAACUGCCUUGCUCCUUAGCAACCUUCUCUUGCAUCUCACCUCGCUGGGUCUCUUUACUACCAACAGUAGGGAAUAAAAAGGCGGAAAAAAAAAAAGCCACAAGAUGAGUUUUGAAUGGAUGCCAAGGUUGAUUUAAUUAGAUGUAUUGAAUUCGUUAACUUCUGAACGAUGUGGCUGUCACGCAGCACAAGUGACGAGCUGCGAGCGGCGAUGGCAGCGUGGCACCGACCUGCCAAAAGGCUCAGCAAAGCAGAAGGAUUGACCUACUUCCCUCGGCUCCACGGAGAGCACAGGCAACUGCCCUCCACUUGCUGUUGCGUGCUCCCUGGAGGGCUGUGCAUCCCUCUGUGCAGGGGAGAGCUCAGCAGCCCAGCAUUGCCCAUCAUCUCCAGCACGAGCCCGGGGCUGGGUAAUUGUCCGUGUGCCCUUGGGAGGCAAAUCGCUCAAAGCAAGGGCUCCUGCUUUGUGUGCUGACUUCUGUCGUCUGGCUGACACUGAUUUUCAGCUUCUCCCACCUAGUGCACCCUUAAAAAAAUACCAGCGUUCUCUGAUAAUGGGCCUAAAUGCUGUUGCAGCUGAUAAGGGUGAUAAAAUCACCCGUGCACACUGCCAUGGCAACCUACGGCUCUUAGGUCUUGAUGUGUGCCUGCUCUUUGGUGUGAGUGUGGAUGUGUGGGUUUGUUAGAGACUCAGCCUGGGAAUCACCUGAGUCUGGAGGAUUUGUUUCCUAUUAUGAGCUCUGACAUGGAUACAGUGCCACUGAAUGGCUCCUUGUCUGGCUAGCCACCCUCAGCGUGGAGCAGAGCAUGCUUUCCCUUGUACCUUGCUGGGGCCCUGGCAGUGCAAAUGGCAUCUCAAAAGAUUUGUCAGUGCCAGGAAAGAGGCUUCCGAAAGAGAAAUUUGUUUCCAAAUGAAUUCUGUAAUGGUUAUCAAGAGGAACUGCUGGGUGUCUGCUCCCACGUCUGCCAUCAUGCAAUGAAUGUGUAGAUCCAGAGUCCUCGUGCAGUGACGAUAGGAUCCCUUUGAGACUGGAAUGUCCUGGACAAGUAACAUUCCAGCUAAAGAAAUCCCAACAACUGAGUGGCAUUCUGAUGUUCUGCCCUUGGUACCAGCCACGAGCCGAACUCCAUGCAUUUGUUUGGCAGUCUUCUCUCAUGUCUCAUUAGUGUAGAUGCAAGAAUAUGUCCUGUCAAACCAUGUCUGUUAAGUGGUGAAGAGAGAAUGUGGAUUUCCUAAGCUUCCAGCACAGAAGUGGUGCUGUUGUGAUAGGGAGUGUUUGCCAAGAUCUAUGGAGCACGAGGACACUGACAGAGAUAUUUGUGAAAUGCACAAGUAUAGAAGCGCUGCACGAAACCAUGGUCUGGGUUGUGCUGAAUAUCGCUGUGUGACCAAAUGAGAUGCUGACAGGAAGGAAGCUUUGGCACGCCAUCAGCCUCCUCUGAUUAUUGUCAGUAUUAAGCCUGGAUUGAAAACACCAGGCCAGGUAGUCACACAAUAUGGUGGGGAACUUGCUAUUUCAGUGGGGAAAUGAGACAGAGCAGCAUUGGGGAAGUUGUCUGAGGUCACUCAGAGAAGACAACUGGGAUGUUGUUUCCCACCACCCAAGCUCAGGCCUUCUCUUCUUACCUCAAGUGUAGCUUCUUCUCUUGGCCCUACAGCAUCACUCAGCUUGAGGAGAAAAGGGUUGCUUGGGUGGGGAGAUGAAAGAAGAAAUGUUAUUUCAUUGAGCAAUGUCAAGAAAUUAGACGGGAAGAAGAAAAAGAGGAUGGAUGGAAGGAAUCCAGCUGUCUUCUGCAGAGAAGAAAUCUCUUUGUAGCAUUGAGGCUGCUUUCAGGGUUCAUGAUUCAGCUUUCAGGUUGGUUGUUGAUAGUUAGGAUGUUUUCAUUUUGACUUCAUCUGUUGACAAGACAGUAAGAGCUCUGUGAGGACGCGUAUCUCUCCAUCACAUAUGACUAAUUGUAUUGGGACAGCCGUGAGCACAAUAACACUUCUGUUUUCCUCCAGAACAGCUCCAUUACAGACUGCCUGGUAGCUGAGCCCCAGCAAGUGUUUUUGCAGUUUUGCUGAUUGUGCAGCCCAGAUAACCUGUGAGAGAGCAAACAUGGAAAGUGUUGAAUAUUCAGCUCAAAAACCAGAAAACAGUCUUGUUUCACUGCUUGUCUGAACUGAGCUUUUAACUGCGUGUUGUCAAUGCUUUUCAGGAAAGUCAUCUCAUCUGGGACACGUCAUCUGGCAGCGAAGUGCUCCCAUUUAGGGACAGCCAUCAAGAGUUCUGCAAAGGCCAGGGCUCAUUGCUAGGCACUAUUGUCUUUGCAGCUUAUUUUUGUGUUUUACUUUUCCCAUCUCCUUGGAGAGCAAAACUCAAUCUGUGCAAAACAGAUGCAUUUUUAAACAAGAUUUGUCUUAGUGUUACACUCAAACUGUCUCCAAAAAAGCCAGUACAUAGCAGAAGCUAGCAGAAGACUUUCUCCAGAUGUUUGCUGCUGUUCGUCCUAUUUCUGCAGCAACCCAGGAGUUUUGGUGCAAUGUAAGUACUGAAUUUAAACUUCUUGGUAUUAAACUGGUCACCCCCUGCUCCUCAGGGUAACAGCUGUAUUUAUGCAUGAAAGCCACACUCUCAUUCCUCAAGAAGUGUGUCGGCACAGAUGACCCUCUGACCUCAAUGUAUCAGCUCAGUGGUCAACAGCCUUAUGCAGAAAGAGCUUUGGUGUGCAACUCUUCCACUUGGUGAGUUUAAUCUAUGUAUGGAUUACAACAGAAAGUUCUCUACAAGAGGCUAUGCAGGUUUUAAGCUGCCCUUGCCUUUGAUGAAAUCAUUGCUUGCUCCUCAAGGAGAUUUGUGAUAUCUGGAAUCUGCAUUCAUAGUGGGCAGGUGGGCAGUCUGUCCAACAUAAGGAGGUAGCGGAGAUUUUGUGACUCUUCCUCUGUCCCUUUUCCCUAGGAGAGAAGCCAGCUUUCCUGCCUGCAGCAAGACACCCCUUCUGAUUUAGGAGUGCAAGACUGCUUCUGUCAUGAUACCGUGACAAGGUCACAGUUUCUGUCUGGGUGUUAGAGGUGAACCCUCCUAGUCAGUAGGAGAAGGAUGAUGCACCAGGAGGUAGCCAGUCAGUGCAGACCUUCUGAGGGCUUUGACUUCUCAUAAAAAAUUCACCAAAGGUCCAUUUCAGUCUGUUUCUCCUCUCCUUGCUAUGUUGGACUUGUUGUUUGUUGAUAGAGGACAGGAGUUACCUAAGGAGCUCUGGGCGACUGAAUAGAGGAGCUGAGCUUGGGAUGUGAACGUGGCAGCUGCAGACACCAAGGAGGAGAAUGCUGACUGCUCUCCUGAAAGCGUGAGAAACCUCUGGACACGGACAGAGUGUGCAUGGCAUUAUGACUGAUCUGCCCUGGAUGAGUGCUCCGCAGAUGCCCCUUGCAAGGGCUAAUGCAUGUGUCUGCAGCUCUUAAAAAUAAGGAUGUUUCCCAAUGUCCCCUGUCAGCCUUGAGCAUAGUUCCCAUCAUUCCUGUUGGAUGCCCUGCGGUGGGAAGAGCAGGCGUGCUGGCUGCCAGUUCAGGUUUAAAAAUGAUGUCUGUGCAAAGUCCAUCCUUGUCUGGACUCCAAGGGACUGCUGUGCACAAGGCCUUCACACAGUCUCCUUAACAGGCUCCUUUUCACUUUUUCCAGGGACUUGCACUGUGCUUCAUUUCAGAGUGAUCCAGUGAAUUAACAUAUUGUUGCUGCUGCCUGGGUAAUUGCAUGCCCGGGGUCUGCUCUGCUCCAGCACAGUCUUCCCGGCUUCCCAGACAGAAAGCAUCCUUCUCCUUUGGCAAACAAAGUUGCAAGUAUUGCCCUGAGGCCUAGCUCAAAGACUGGAGGAAUGGGAGGGUGGAAAGAGGAGAGGGAAGCUGGAAAAAGGAGAGGGAAACUGUUUUAGAAGGUAUAUCUGGCUUCAAGAGCUUACCUAUCAAUGAGGAGCUGGAGUUGGGGUUUUUCAGCCUUUUUUCUUCACAAAAGUACUAAUUUUGACUGAAGCUGUGGUUUUCUUGCUGAUUUAUGCAGACAUUGGUAUGGGUGCAGUUACAGAAAUUUAGUUUAGCUCAAGUCACCAUGAGGACUCAGAACUGCUUGAAAUGAGCUGUGCUGGGUCACACAGGAAUUUCAGCAGAAGUUGAAACUGAGUGGUCUGAUAACCUCUUUGUACUGAAAAUAAAACUCUUUAAAUAGGUAGGUGUAAAAAUGCUUGCUGGUCUCACUUCCAAAUGCAAAAAAAACUCACAUGUGGAUAAACCCUUAGAGCCUCUAAGUUCCUGUGAGACGAGACCACAUCACAGAACACUUUGGUGAGCAUAUUAUCGAAACAGGGUGGGUUUCUUAAUGCGGAUGCAAGUUUGCAUUUUUGUAAGAUGAUAUUUGGUCAGGACUGACUUCUGGUGGGGAGCUGGCAUCCCUUAAGCAAUGGUCUCCAAAAAGAAGUGUGGUUAUGUACAACAUGAGGAGGGCAGCUUUACCUCCUAGUACAGCUUGGCUGUCAAACAGAUGCAUUAAGUGGAUUGGGAGCAUGCAAACUCAGGGAUAGUGGGGAGGAAGUUGACUUAUGGCUCUGCCACUGACUUUUGUGGUGACCUGGGGUGAGAAGAUGAGCCUCUCCUUUUCUACCUCCUCCUUCGCUUCUGCCCACCCAGCACAUGUAGCAAUCACCUUGUAGUUUGUAUGGGUCCUUCUAAAAAAGCUGGAACUAUCUGUAAAGUCCCUUUUCAUCUUCUCAGUUGUGAACAUUUCCUGUCCGUUAAGCAGCAUAAGCUAUUUUGACUGAAAGGAAGACAUUUUUCCAAAACUCUUUUUGACACAAGGGAUGGAGAGGAUGAUGUGGCCAUGUUGACAGUGUAGCUGGGUCAUCCUGCACCAGAGCUGUGCAGUUUGUGGGGCAUAGGAAAGAUUAUUGAGGCAUUUCCAUCCUGUGGAAUAGAGGCUGCAGCCUUGGGCAGUAUAUGGAGAUCCCUGUUGUGGUUGACCUAGCCAUGGGCCUUAGGGAAUCCCGCUUGUUCUGUAACUAUGUGUGUGUAUUUAUGCACAUACACAGAGGAGAAAGAUGGAUGUGUGUGCUGCAGAUGGGACGUGGACAAAGGUUCCUUGGCCACUGGCACCCCAGCUGAGAUGAACAGAUGAGCCACUGUGGGACUGCAUGCAGGACUGAGGUUUGUUGUGUCCUGAGAUGAACAUAAGGCACAGUGCCCAGGGGUGCCUUCUGGGCCUUCAUGGUCUUGGAUGUGGUGGUUUCUCUAACUCUUUCAUUUGGGAGAUAUCGCAAUCCCUGAGCGCUGAGUGAUUCCCACCCUUUCCUCUAAAGCCUUUGCAGUGGUGGCAGUUUGAAGAUGUCCUGUAGGAUGAUAUAGGCUGAAAGGGAUCUUGGGUGGGUCAGCUGUGAGAUCAGACCAGGUUGUUCAUGACUUUGUUUGGUUAAGUCCUGCUUUCAGUGAACUUGGAUGUGUUCCCAGUGACCUCCCUGCAGGUGCUGGGGCUGCUGCUGCAUCCCUCAAAGCCAUCUCUUGCCCUGGCUGAACAAGCCCAGCUCCCACAGCCUCUUCUCUUUGGGCAAGUUACAAGUGCUCCUCCACUGCACUUGCUCUAGUUUGUCCAUGUGUUUCUUGUACCAAGACAAGAUGCAGUGUCUAGAUGGGGUCUAAUGAGUGCUGAGAUCUCCUGGCUGUUUCUGCUCCUGCAGCUCAGUAGGCUGUUGGUCUUUGCUGCAGUUCCUUUCCUAAGGUCCAGUUGGCCUUUGGUCCCAACAACUGUUCCAGCCCUUGAGGAGUGGCAGAGCUGCUGGGACAUGGGGUUGUGCCUAGAUGAUAGUUAAAUAGGACCCCUGUAACUGUGCUUGGAAAACCUGAGUGUUUCUCCACAGCCUGGGGGGAAGAGGAGCACAGAGGAGCCCUGAGGUGGCAAAGUCUUCUUCUCCCUGCUAAUGGUGUGGGCUCCUGUAGGGAGAGACACAGAGCCCAGACAGAGGAGGUGAUGACCUGAGUUCUGCAGAAAAAAGCAAAGAGGUGUAGUGUUAUAACUACCCCUGUCUCACUUAGUCAUCUGGAAAGCCAGAUUUUACUCGCUGCUCUGCUUCCCGUGGGGCUGUGACUGUUGAUGGCCAUGGACAGCUGAGGUCCUGCAAUAACAGUGCACAGGGCUGUGGAACAUACCUCACUGUGCUCACUGCUGGGCUUGAACCCCCACCCCUGGAGCCAUGUGUAGAGGAAUAGUGUGUAUACAUGUAUGUAUACCAUACUCAAACAAAAUGCUGCAAUUCCGUGCUGUGCUGCCAAAUUAGUGUGUGAGUUUCAAAGCAGCGACCUAUAUUCUUGACGUUCCAAGAGCCUUGGGAAAAGAUCAAUUUCUUAAUGCUGUACUAAUUUAAUAAAUAUCUUUUUUUAGUGUAGGAAGGCAGCAAUAAAAGACAAAAAGUAGAAAGAAAAGACAGAAAGACCUGUACAAUCAUUUUAAAGGUUUUCUGCUUUUCCGUUCAUGUUCUUUUCAGGAAAUGAAACUGGCUAUAUAUGGUAUAGGAUUGAAACCACAUAUCACAAGCCACUGUCAAGUUCAUGAAGUGACCACAUUGAAAAAGUAGUGAAAAAUAGGUUUUUACUGGUGCCUUCCUAGCCUGUAGGAAUCCUGGCUGUGGCUUGUCAUUGUAGUAGAGUGAAGAUUUGCAUUUUCAAGUUGGCGGUUUUCCUUUUUGCUCUUCUACUUCCUACAAACUAAUUUAGUGCAGUGUUAAUUGUGAAUCUGGAAUGCAAAUCAACUCACCUGCUUGUUUUUUCUUUCAUUUUCAGAUUUUCUAAGUAUGGAAGCUCUCCUGAGGAGCUGCAUUGUGCACUGCUGCCCCUGGGAUGGGACACAGAGCAAGGAGUGAAGAAGAGCUGUGAUGUGCCACUGCUUUUGUGAGGAGAGGGGUGUUCUGGCAUGUCAUAUGGUGCCAAAAGACAUUUUACUCUUGGCAGCAAAAAUCCUUAUCCUCCUUGUUGCUUUUUUUUUUUUUUUUUCCCAGGACAGAUGCUAUUUCCUGUUAGAGAUGCUUUGUAUGCAAAUCAAGGUGGUACAACAAGAAAAAAAGUCCUGAAAGCAAUCACACCAAUAAGCUCAGCCCACUGGGGAAUUCCUGCUUAUCAUUUAUCUUUUGUUUUUUCAGUUCUGUACAAGAUACUUCUUUGACUGUACUUUCUUACAGUCUUUAAUGUUUGUCCUGCCAGACCUCUUGCUUAUGAACUACAGUGCUUGCAUUUUGCAGGGCUCCAUGUCAGUCUGCACAAACAAAAGGCAGUAGGUGCUGGAAAUUUGGGUUAACAGUCCCUGUGUUUCAGCUUGAUCUUGCAUUGAUCUGGUGCUUUCUUAAAUUCAAGCCAGACAUGAGCCUCACACUACAGAUUGCCACAUGCCUAUAGUGAUGAUCUACUGGAAAGGUGAUCCCAGAAACCUCAGGAAUGCAAAAAAAAGAGAGAUAAAAAGCAAAAAGAAGCCAGCAAAAAGUUUACCUAGUAACUUAAACAGGAGCAGGAUUUGACUUGAGGCACCUCAAGAGAUGGUGUGGGCAGCACUGCACUAAUCAGUAACGCGAGUUGAUCACCUCAUUGCUCCAGCAGAGCAAAUUCACAUAGAAUCACAGACUGGUUUGGGUGGGAAGGGGCUGUAAAGAUCAUCUAGUUGAACUCCCUUGCCAUGGUCAGGGAGAUCUUCUAUCAGACCAGGUUGUUCAGGCCCCCUUCCAACCUGGCCUUCAACACUUCCAGGGGUUGGGCAUCAACAACUUCCCUGGGCAUCUGCUCAGCCUGUGCCCUACAGGUGUCCCUAUAAGUGGAUGGGGCUGAGCAAAGCCUUGCUCUCACCAGGCUGCCACCCUGCUGAUGUUACAACAGGCUGUGAGGGUGAAAAAAAGACUCAGAAACAGAAAAGGAUGUGUCAGACAGCUGUAGAACAGCAUUGCCAAAGAACAUUCUCGUGCGUGUCUAGAGAUAGCCACUGCAGCCCAGGUCCUGUUGAAUCAUGCUGUGGUUGUUCUGGCCUUUGUGUGGGUAACAGUGAUAAUCACUGUGUGUGGUGUUGGGUUUUAUUGUUUCUUUUUUUUUUCCUUAAAUGUAAAAUUAACAGUCAAAUUAGCAUUGGUGAGCAGCAAGCCUGGUGCAGCUUUUAUCUAUCCUGAACCUCGGAACAAAGGAGGGGAGGAAAAUGGCUUGACCAGUUUGGCAGCCGUGCACGUAACGGUCCUGGAGUUCAAAGCAAAGGGCACAACAGUCAGAUACCCAAACCCGCCUGGGCUUUGGCUGAUAAGUCACAUUUCAAAGUAAAAGGCAAUCCUAUAGGGGCUCUGCUGAGUGCCUAAAGCUCCAGUGCUGAGUCUUCUUUAAAAGGGGAUUUCAUAAGGAGUAAUAUGAACAGAAAUGGCUCUUUUGUGGUUUUACACAUUCCAGGCAUGCCAGGACUGUUCCUGUCAAGGAUGGGCAGUCUCUGGGGUUUUGGGGUUUUGAAAUUUUUUUUCCCCCCAAAUAUUUGCCACAAACUAGCAAGCUGAAAUGGUGAAAAAUAAAUAAGAGUUGCAAAAUCAUUACAGUAGCAGUAAUGGAAACUGUGAGGCUUAUACUUAAAUUGGCUGUGGGGUUUCACUCCAUCUUCUGCGCUGUUGCGCUGUGAGGAUUACUACUUUUACCUGCUAUGAUCACUUCAGGGUGGAUGAUUUGAAAGCAGAGCUUUAACUGUUUGUAACCCAGGACCUCAGAAAACAGUGCUUUUGGAUUUUUCAGAAGCAAUACCUUUUUCAGCUGAAGCACUGUUAAAUCUGAAUUUUAUCAGUGUCAGUGCAGUUAUGUGGCCAUACAGCAUCUUUACGUGAUAAUUUCUGCAGGUCUGUGUGUAUAGAAAUGGGGCCCAGCUGUUCCUGCUUCAGGUGCACUUUUGUUUCACAGAGGUCAUGCAGGCUUGGAUUGCACCUGUGCACAUUAACACAAAGUUUUAAUUGAUGUAAGAGUUUCAACGCACAAAGUUGUGGUGCCUGAAAUCUUGAGGGAGAGAACUUUUGCUCUGCCUUGAAACAGUCUGAAGUUUCAUGUGCAGUAAUACAAUAGAUGGGUUGUGUAGACCUGCCCUGUUAGAUGAGGGUCUAAUUCAUAAGCCUACGUGUCCUGUUCUUCUCCACAUGGCUACUGCUCCUGUUGACAUAGUCCUGUGUCUGGUGUAGUAGCAGGACCUCAUGGACAGCUGGGAAAGCCACGGCCAGAGAUGUUACUGCUGUCACCUCACAAAAGGUAUGGCUGUAACAAUGUGCCAUCAAAUGUGUGCCUCAGCCUCCCUGAGACACCCUACACAGACACUCAGUACCUUUAUUCCAGCACACUGACCACAGCCAUCUCAGCACCUUCAUGAGCUGGAGCUGCGCCUUUAUCAGCUCUGCAGGUGACACUAAUCCUUCUGUGGGGAGAGCAGAAAAUGGAGCCUGGCUCAUCCCAGCAGAGUCUGAACCAUGGGACCAUAGAUACCAUCCUGAGAAUUUGUUUUCAGCCCAAGUUUGACUGGGCACAAAUGCAGACAGAGGGUGAGAAAGCAUCUCUUUGAAAGUGGCAAUAAAAGAGACACUGUUGGAAUGAACCUUCUGGCCUGGUUUUAUUAAAUGUGAAUAUGGUUACUUAGUAGUGAACAGGAACUGGAGUGGAUUUAGGAGAUGGUCCCCCCUUCCAUCCUCCAACACAGGCUGAUGUUACAGGGAAGUCUCAAGGCUGUUGCCUGGGCUGUUGGGUCUGUGGAUGGAGGAACUUAAUCACCAGCGUUGCCAUCAAAUGCUGCUCUUACAAAAUACAAGGAAGAAGUGCUUGUGUUAAUUCUGUGCUCAACAUACAUAUUUUUCAUCUUAGACAAGUCUGGUCUUCCAGCCUUCUGGACUACUGCCAUUUUGGGUUUGGGAAUUUAUUUUUUUUUCUUUCCCCAUCAGUGCUACCAACCACAGAAUUUUGGAAACAAAAAGUCGGAAUGGGGUGUUCAGCGGUGAGCUGUGUUUUUACUAGGCCAAUCUUUUAGGAGUUGGUUUUGAAGUGGAUUUCAUUCUGUCCACUCAAGGUCUCUGCUGUGGAAAUAUUUAUUGCUGUGAAACUGUAGCAAGCUUUAUAAGUGGCAGGAAAAACUACUUUUGUAACCAAACAAGUGUGGUUUCCCUACAAGUCACACAGGUGUACAUUUGGAAUUUUUUUGUUUUGUUUUGUACCAAAACAAUUUUUCCACUGUGUUAUCUGGAGUGGGAAAAUGAGUGGACCUUGUAUUUUAAUAUAGAUUUCAUCCAUUUUGUCACAGCAGAAGCGUACAUAGAGAUUCUCUGUUAUUCUUCUUUUUCUGUGUAUUUGCUUUGUGGUUUGUGCCUUAGAAUCUCUGUUUUCCUCUUUUUGAUGGUUUGAGAGUUUUGAUAGAGACAGCAAAAAUGCUUAAAAAUAUUAAUGCCCUUGGGAAGGCUACAAAAGUUAUGCAGUGGUGAAGAGAUGCAGACAACCUGUAGAAGAGCCAGAUUUUGACAGCAUGGGAAGUGGUUAGUGCCUCAUUGGACAUCAUCACAUCAAAGCUGGACAGUGGGCUCUUGAGAUACUCUGUUUGAACCACAAAUUGCUGGGCUUUGGGCAGAAAUCACUGUAUGAAAUUCUGUGGUCUUCAUUAGGCAGGCGGACAGACAAAAUAAUUUUGCUGGUUUCUCUUGGCUCUUAGAAUUUAUGAAUCACAUAGUCAGGGUGUUCUGGGGGGGGGAUUUGAGUUUCCAUGAAAAGUUUGCCAUGGUAGCAUGCAGACAACAAAACCCAUCUGUUCUCUUGUCCUUUCAUCACGCUGUGUUGCUUUCGAAUUGUUCCAGAAGGAGGAUGAAAUUGGGCUUGUUAUUUAAAUUUCAGUAUGGGUGGCCAAAGCAACUCUACCUUGGUUAUUAUGGGCCUCCUGUGACCACAGGAAUGGAUGGUGCCUUAUGCCAGCCCUGAUUUAACAAACAUCUGAGGACCGACUCAGCACUGCAGCAUAGCCCAUGGGAAUUGUGUUCCAUGGGAUCCUGCAGCAAGGCAGUGUCUGGGAAUAUCUCCUCACACCCUUUAGUAGUAAGGAUGUCAUCAGCCCUUGUAGGCUGGUAUCUGAUUAAAUAGCACAGUGUGGGAAAAAAAAUACACACUAAUUUAUGGCAGUUGAAUGUGUGUAGCUGGGAGGAAAGAACUCAGGUUCUGUCUGAAGUUGUGUGAACCCAUCUGGGGAGCAGUGUCAGGGAGAGAAUCCAUGGGAUCCUCAUGUGUGAUCAUGUGAGAGCAAGCUCGUGAUGGAGCUGUGAGACAGAAAGGAACCCUGCAACUCUGGAGAACAAGUAGGAGCAGGGAUGUGACUCGUGACUUUGACCUUUUAAAGGGGGACACACUGCCUGGUUGUCUGUACUUGAAGAAAGGAGGGGUGGUGCCAGGAAGAAUUCAUGGAAAGCCACAGAUGACUUGGGUUUGCUUUGACUCCAGGCAUGAGGAGUGCAAUGUAUUUGCUUAAUUGGGAUGAAGGCUGGCAAGGGGGUGACUUGACUGCCACAUGUAGAGGAAGAAAGUUUUGAUCAGCAGGUUUGGGGUAAGGAAGACCCUUUCUAGGGGAAAUUUCUAGGGAAGACCCUAGAAUUUCUGUCCUUUUCCAGAUUUUAGAGGAAAUGUCUCUCUAUCAUUGCAGGUUUAGUUUAAAAUAUUGGGCUUAUUAUGUAGAGGUCUUGGGCGAAAGGGACUGAUAUGCAGUGUAGUGAAGGCAGGAUGGAUUAUUUGGGUCUUUCUGCCUUUAUGCUCAGAACUCUGGUACUUCCCAGCACCUUCUCCCUCAAAGAAGGGAAGCACCUUCUUCUACCCCUCCCUGAGGUAGGGAGGUUCUGCCACAACACUGGGCAUAGCGUAAAUGGUCAGGACAAAAUGCUUUGGAGCCAUUUUAUCUUAAGUCAGGUGUCUAAGAUAACUGGCUUUCCUUCUGGUAAUGGCUGUUGUCCUGCAGCAGCUAUGUGGGAGACCAGAAAUCUGUCUGAGAUGUGGACUCCUGUGCUUUGGAUGUCUGAAGCUGUGUGAGGUGAACACCCCUCUCACUGCCUGUGUGCAUGAUGAGGAGUUAGUGGAAUAAAGAACCUAUCAAAGAACCAUCUGACACCACCUGAGAUGAAAAUAAUAUGGAAAAUGUAAUCAGCUCUCUGCAGUUGAGCAGUCCCUGGAGGUCCUGUACCAAACCUGACCCACUUGCUGAACCCCAGCAGUGCAGCACUGGGCACUCCUCUGCCUGCUUUCAGAAGAAUGAAAGGACAGCAGUAUGAAAAGAGACAAGUACACGGGACAGCAAUCAGUGGUAAGUCUUUAAUAAGAAAGAGCUGGGGUAUUUUGUUUGUUAUUAAAAGGAAACCCACUUUCUGCAGCAUUUCUCUUUGUGUGGUGCUCAGAAAGGAGGGAGGUGUUGGAAGAGGUUUGUUUUCAACCUGACUGAAUGUUUUCCCAGUUCUUUCCCUGCACUCCAGCUCAUCCCAUCCCAGUCUUUCCAGCCAUGCCGUGUUGGGAAGCAGCUGUGAGCUCAUCCUCAGGGCUGAGUUCUAACAUGGUAACUGUCCUGGGCUCGACUGCUUUGCAGGGAUGGAGGGAGGGCUCUUGCCACUGGCAAGGAGCAUCGUGACUCUUUGCCACUUGUCCCAGUUUGCUGUCAGGAUGGCCUCCCGUGAUGGUUCAUCAUGAGCCCAGCCUCCCAUCUCUAAGCUCCCCAGAGGUGUUACCACUUUGCCAUGGCUUCAAGUUAGUCCAUCUGAGUGGAUAAACUGCAGUGGGUAAAAAUCAAAUCCAAAACUCCUGGGUUUUGAGAGGAUGAUAGCAGUGGACUGUUAGUAGCAAACUAAAACCCAUAUCCCCUUUCCAGGUAGAUGUUGCUGAGAAGAUGAUUCCCAUGUGCUCCUCAGAAGGGCUGCUGAGCUGCCAGAUGAGCACCAAGCUUUCCCUUCCUGUGUGUACCCGUCCUGCUGGCUGCAGCCCUUGCUGGACCCUGGGAGGAUGCAAGGCUCUGGCUCUUUUAAUGGCUGUCCAGAACAGUGAGGGAAAACUGCCUCCUCCCUGGACACAAACCACAUUGAUUUGCUGGUGUUUUUUCUUGGUUUUUUUUUUUUUUUUUUCUUUUGGCUGUCUGAAUAACUAAGUACAAACUUCUUUCACCUAUUUGACAUCAAUUCACUAAUGGAUGGCAGAAGAUUUCAUGUUUGGUUUUUAGCUGAAAAAGUGAUGAUUCAAUUAUAAACCUCACAUUAUACAUCUUUGAACCAUGUGAAAAGUGUGAAUUUUUACAGAAAAUGUGAGAGUGGUGGGGGUUGUGGAAUAAACUUUUUUGCCUGAAUUUUAUUCUAAGUUUUGAAUUAGUGAGAUAUAUUUCAUGGGACUGAGAAAGCUGUGAUUUUUCCCCUUCCUUCAGUGUUGGGCUUUUUUUGUUGUUGUUUUUUGUUUUGGGUUUUUUGGGGGGAUUCUUCUUCUUGUUGUUGUUGUUUAGCUUUUGUUUUUUGUAAUCAGAGUAUUUAUUCCACAAGUUAAAUGGUUUCUCAUACACAAGUUAAUGUUGAAAGAAAAGUGAGGAUGAGGAGAGGCCAGACAUUGGGUUUUAGUUGUCUCCAAUUUUUUUCCUUUUAAGCUUCAGCAAAAAGGCAAUUGUUUCAUUUUGACCCACUUUCAAAUCACAUUAGCAAAUGAAUACAGAAUGAGAAGGACAAUCACAUGAACUUGAAGAAUGCAGCAGUUCAGGACAGGAGGGAGCAGUAGCAAUCCUGCUCUGACCAUCUGCCCAGACUGGGGUGUUUUAGUGUAUCCUACAACAUUUUUUGUGUCACCAAUAACAAAUUUCCAGUGAUUGGAAGGGGAUAAGGAAAAAGGAGCCCCCAGCACUCCUGUCCCCAUUUUCCUUGGCUCCCUUUCAGGUGUCAGCAGCAUGCAUCUCACAGUCACUGCAGCUGCAUCUGGCACUUUGUUCUUGUGUAGAGCACAUCAGUACAGGUAAGUGCAAGAGGGUGCUUGCUCUGGUUCCUGAGCUCUGGAGCCUGCCAUUAGAGCCAAGGCUGAGCACAAAAGCCUCACCCAGAGGGAGGGCACAUCAUUUUCAGUUUGCAGCAGGGAGCUUGGUUGCAGUACUCCCAGGGCCCACUGAGCUCGCUCACAUCUCUCCUGGCCUGUGGGACGAUGGACCUUUGGCUAUGAUUUAUCCAAGACUUUGCUAAGCUGCUGUUCUCCACAACAGGUCUGCCUUUGCAGGGAAGGCAUGCCAGCAGCUUCCUCUGGGUUUGGAAAAGUCAACUCCACAGUUACUCUCUUCCUGGAGAAACACAUUUGAUUUACCUUAGGAAAUUAGUGCUGCUGCAUUGACCUUGAUGGAUCUAGGCUGUGUGGUUUGUGUUUGGUUCAGGAGAGCUCAGUGGCAUUUCUUAAUCACUAUCAAAACAGUUCACUGUGUGAUAACUUCAGCAUUCCCAGCUUUAGCCUUACAGCAGAAGCAGCAGUGCUUUUUCUUUUGAGAGUCCCUGAUUUUUUUUCUGGCACUUGUCAGGUGUAGGUAAGGGUGAUCUUGGUGUUGCAUCUCCUGAGACCUUCCUCACUGUUAUCCUCAGCCAGUGCCUAGGAAAGAUGAGCUGGUUAUCUAUGAAAAAGAAUUGUAUCUGAAUGAUUGAUAUGUGGGAAUAUUCAGUCUCUGCCUGUCUGCUUUCUCACUGUGAGACUGAGGCAUCACCUCUGUCUUCUGUCCUUAUUCCCAUUUGGUGAAUGGCUGGCUGAGCAGCCGCAGAAAAGGUAGCAAAUCCAAGAGACAUGGAAUGCUGAUACAGCUCCCCAGUGUUUGUAGUGAUGCUGCUGGGGGUGCCCAGCCUCAGGCAAGCAUGGCAGUGACACCCUUGGAGUGGCUCUCUCCUGCCUGCCUGGGACCUUGUAGCCCUGGGGUAUGAGUUACUACCAAAAUUUACCUCUGUCUCAGCCUGGUCAACAAAGAAAUAGCAUUUUCUGCUCAUAACUGGAGGGAGAUACUGCUCUGCUUGGCUUCUUGAGAGCUGCCUAGAGUUUGUGCACAACUCCAUAUCCAGAGCCUUGCUUUUCCUGGUGCCUGACCACCAGGUGACAAGCGGAGGUACAAAAUCCCUGUCCCCAGCCAUCUGCAGAGAGAGGAGUUACCCAGGGACCAGCCCUGGCAUUGCUCCCUGAAGCUCAUGGAAGUACUACUGCUUCCAGAUGUCCUGCCUGUCCCCUGCAUGUCCAGUCAUGUUUAUUAAACCUCUGCAGCAGAUUGGUAUUGGGAAUCAAAGGGAUAUAGCACAGUUUGGGGUCUGUGAAUGGUUGCAGAAGUCUAGGGUGGGGAGAUGGGAGCAAGGAGUGGUAAUGUGGUAAGCCACUGCAGGUGCUGGAUGGAUCAACAGAGGGUGAAGCAGCCCCUUGCUGCCCUCCCACCAGCAGACUCCUGCAGAGAAGUGCAAUUCAAACAGCAGAGACCUGAGGGGAUUUGCUCCUGAGUUGUGGCACCUCCUCUUGCCCUGGUUGGCAGCCAUCAUUGGAUGUGUUGACCCAUGCCAAACUUAUUCAUAGAUGCCUAAUCCUCUGCAGCCAACCAGCUCGGUGUUGAGGACUUCCUUCCAGGAGCCAGAUAUGUCAGUACCAUUAUACGUGUGGGUCUUGAGUGACUUGUGCAAGGCCAGGCAGCAAGCUUGUGGCUGAGCAGGUGUUGAAAACCAGCUCUCCCAAGCUUCGAGUUGGCAGCCUUUGCACCAGGAAAUCCUUCGUUUAACUUUCCACCACAGCAGAUGGGCUUGCACCGAUGUAGGAGGGAAGUCUCCAUGCACUCGUGCAUUUCUUCCCGUCCUUCUUCAGCUCCUCACACUUCUGCCUGAAGGCAUCUCUCAGGGUAAAGAAAUAUUGUUCAGUGUCCAGGAGAGAGCAGAAAGGGAGCUGGAUUGCCUCUGCCACCAUGCACUGAAGAAAAGAAUGGAAUAGUUUUGGACAAGGUUCAAGGCAGGUCAUGCAAGUUUGCAAAGGGCUUCUGCAGGGCUCCCUCACCAGCUCUUAUCCAUGAGAGCCUGUCAGGUGUAGCAGCAGGUUUCUCUGCCACCCCUCACAUCUCCUUCAAAGCGGGAACAAGCUGCCCUGGAACAGGCUGACCUUCGGCAUAAUUAUUUCUGCUUUUUUUUCCCCCAAGUCAGGGGCACCAGAGUAAAAGCUGAGGAAAGCUAAAGUAACCUCAGCUUUUUGUCAGCUUUCCUUGCAACAGUGACAGGGCUGUUGUUCUGCUCUUGGCAUUAAGUAAGAAAUCAGUGUUACCAUGGGAGCAAACUCCCAAACAGGUGGCGAUCACACACAUAUUAACCUGAACUAGUGCAGGAGGCACCAUGUCCCCCUGUGGAUCCGCCAAGGGUAGAGGAGAUCUCAUUACUCUUUGUUUGUGCUCAGAGUGUGGCUGUCUAGGGGAUGGUGCCCAAAUAGAUAAGGCUCUAAGCACAGAUGUCCGGUUUGAUUAUUCCUUUCCUUUUGCAACAAACCAUAUGGUACUAUGGGCAGCACAGAUAUCUGGCAAUCAAAAUUCCUGGGCUCCCUCCCUGACUCCGCCAUUCGCUCAUUUAAUUUUCAAAGCAGUUUUCAUGCAUCAGCAAAACUUGCUGCCUUGAACCUCCCCACCCCCUUAAAACAAGAGCUCCCCCACAUCACUGGAGGUGCUUUUAAAUAUAGUCACCAUGUCUUGCUUUGCUAUCGCAAAAUUAGGUGCACUUAAUGCUGGUAAACUACUUUGCCACCAACAGAUAAAAGGCACUACAGACAGGUUGCUAAUCACUUUGAUUAAGUAAAGCACCUAAAGUUUGCCACUGCUGCUGGACGAUUGCAGGCUGAUCCAUCUAUAACCUGCAGGAGUAAGAUGAAUUAGGCAUGAUAAGCAUUGUUUGGUUUCUGGUGCGUCAACCAGUGAGUGAAAUGACUCGGUGUUUAUAUGCCAGGUCACAGAGAAAAGUUUUUUGCGAUUGGAAAUGAUUAGGACACUGAUUAAUGCUUCCAGUGCUCUUUGAUCCAGAGCUGCUAGUUGGAAUGAGCCUUGCUGCACGGAGACAUCCCAACCGCCUGGUAACAAAGGUGCAGGGAGUAGAAAAUGGACUGAAAAAAUGCGGCUGGGGAUGGGAAGGCGCUGCUGUAAGAUAUGCUCUUUUUCCAUCGGGCUCCAGGCUUACAUUCUUUGAACCAUCCUCUUAUUCCUGGAAGUCAAGGCAGUUUGUUACUCAUAUUGUGCUUGUCAGGUUUAUUAAUUUUAAAGAAAGUGUUCAGGAAGAUUGCCAAGUCAUCUGAACUUCCAGCACUGAUAAGGACCUCAGGGUCUGCUAAGUUAAGAAGACAACAUCCCAAGUCCAGGAAAAGCUUUAGAAUACAGCACUUUCUGAGUAGUCUCAGCUCUUGUGAAACAGUUAUUUCUCUCAGUGUGCAGGUGGCAUCUCCUUGUGAUGAGUGUUCCUUCUUUCAGCCACAGGAAUUCCCAUUUUUAACCCUCAAUUAGAAUACUUCCCUUUUAUCAUAGGUGAAAUAUUUGAAAUAAUUUCCUAUGACAGGACACGGGAAGAUUUGCUUGAGUAAGAGGUAGAUUCCCCAACAUUUCUUACCAUUCCCACACCAGCACACCAUUUGUCUUUAUUAUUUCGUGUCUCCUUCAUGCUUUGGGUUCUGUGGUUGAACCUUGAACCAGCUGGGGGACAUGAACAUGGCUGCAUUGCCCACUACAUUUUCUUUACAGCCAGGACUGCAUUAUUUGUCAUACUCGCUGUCACACCUGUCGAUCCACACUUGGUCCUUCUGGGGUGAUGUUCUUUUUUGUGUCAUUUGUGUGUAUCAGAUGGGAUUUCAAUAAAAAUCAAGCAUAAUCUGUUAGCAGGUGGUGAAUGGUCACUCAAAAUAGCUCUGGAAAAUUAGGAGUGAAGACUCUAAAAUGUCUGGAUGUACCACAGAGCUGAAUUGUGGGUGUCCACACCCCAAGGGCAUUAAGCCAUUCCCAAAUCACUAUCUGCUCUCUGUUUUAGGAGAUCCCCAGAGCCAUAGCAACUUACCUCAGAAUUCUUCUACUACAAACCCAGGUGGUUCAGCAGCUACAGCUGCUUUUGUUCAGGGAAGGGAGGAGGCAGGAGCUGGGGCUGCCCCCUCCUCAGGCUACCCAAGGACAUCCCUGCUGCUCCUGGCCAGCUAUGUGCUGGCCGCCUCUGUGAGCCCUGCCUGAGCUCUGCCUGAGCACUGAGCAUUCUGGCCAUUCCACAUUUCUCUUUGCUUGUGUUUGUGCUGCAGACUCCUGAUUUUACAAAACAUGGGAAAACUUUUGAGAUACUGGAAGUGUUCAGGAGCUGAGAAACCAGUGGAUGAAAACUGGUGCCCACUGGGGAUGUAGGUCAGUGUAAGGAGAGAAUUCGAAUGCUUUUUUAACCAAACUUCAGUUUCUUUGGGUAUGUCUAUGUUUUCCAUGUUUUGCCAAGCACAAGCGCUUGCAGACACCAUCACUGACAACUUCUUUGAUAUGGGAGGCCCAUGUCCCAUCUUCCACUUGAGUCAAUCGCCUGCAGAGACACCUGGCCAGACACCUUCCCACCACCAUUUCACAUAUCCAGAGAUUAUCUGUGCCUUCCCUGAACUCAUAGGCCUGGGACCACAGCUGGUCCCUGUACAGAGCCUGUGAUCUUUGAUAGCACAUGAACUCACCCCAAGCUGGGCUGGUGGCUUUGGGAUUUCUCCUCUGCUCAGCUGUUUUCACAAAAUGCAUUGAAAGUUUGCCAUCUUAGGUUGCCAUGUCAGUUCUCUGACAUGUUUGGUUCCUUCCAGCCAAUGUAUUCAGCAGAAGGAGGAUGGACAAACAGUGAAUUCCUGGAUAUUUUUAUGUGGGAAGUUGGUAUAAAUAUGAGUAUACAUCAGUUUCCUGCCUUUGUGAAGUUGUGCUUCAUACCUGUUUUCAAGCUAUGUUGUCUUCCUGUGCAUGGUCUGAAUCAGUUAAUAUCUAAUUGCAGAUCAUUUUAGUAAAAAUAGGUGCCUGCUCUGCCUGCUUUCCAAUUUCCAGGUGGCUCCAUGGUGGCUGCUUGGCUGCUGCCUGCCCUGCUGCUAAUGUUCCUGUUUUCCUCCCCAGCUUGUGUGGCUGCCCUGGCAUGUUGCUGGGACAGGGAGCAGUGACGCAGGGUCUCCUGGAAGCCUGUGGAUGGGCCAAGUAAAACACAGCUGGGCAUCAUCCCAAGUACCUCAAAGACUGCUGCACUGAGUAGGUUCCCAUUGUCUCAGACAUCUCAUUGUACUUAAUAGCAAUGGAGGUGUCUGUAUCGCCCUCAUUUACAGCAAGCUAGUGACUGGGGCCAUGAAAGGGAGGAGUUUGGGGUGAGACAUGCCUCCAGCUCCUUGGGGUAGGAAUCUCUGCUUAUCAGAUGCAAUUUUGGAAAGGUAUUUCAGGUGUGGCUUCCAUGAUGGAGGCAAUUUCACACUGGUGGAAGCCAUCCCAGGGGUGCAUGACAACACUUGGUGGCCCCGACACUUCCCCAGCCACAUGCCCCUGGCACUGCUCCAGCUCAUUGCCAGCCUACUUGCUGCCUUGCUUGCCUGCCACAUGCAAGACAAGAAAAUGUUGGCGUGACUCUAAAACCCAUCCUCCUUAUCAUGUUCAUCUUGGUAUGGAUCCUAGCAGGGAGGCAGUGGGCGGAAUGGUGAGUUCAAAGGUGGCUAGCCAAAAAGUUAGCUCAAUCAUUUGCCUUGUUAUUGCUACCACAGUUAACCCUUUGGCUGCUGGCCCUGGAGUAGGGUAUCUGUGAGGCUCUGUUCAUCUCUCGGGCUCAUGGCUCAAGCCAUGACAGGUGUUUCUGUCAGGCGAGAGCUUUGGUUGCAGUCAGUUUUGCCUUUACUGGUUGCAGUUUCUUUUUUUCCUCUUUCAUGAGAGGUUGCUGCUCCCAGUAAGAGGCUGGGCCAUGCAUGCCUGACCAUGCCCAUGAGGUGAAGGGCAGGGCUCGUGCUUCAGGCUGGCAUGACGUGGAGCAUAAAACAAAACCAUAGCUGGGGAGGCAUGGCCAGCAAGAAGCAUGAGACUCACAGCCCCUCUGGGCAGGGUUAGACUGGGCAGACACCUGGCAGAGAGAGUGUCUGCCAGGUGUCCAGGUUAGGGUGCAGCCCAGGGCAUUAAAAGUCUGGGUGUGUGAGAGCUGGAGCUGCUGUUUGAGUUAGUUGGAGAUCUUAAAGAUCUUUGUGUGUUGGACAUCCAUGGAAAGAAAUUGCUGUUGGAUCUUUACUGCUCUCUAUUCCAAAUUGUAAAGCUCAGGACAAUUUUUCCCCUGACAUAAAUGCAUAGCAAAGUAUCUGUUGAAAAGAUAUGGGAAGGAAUCACAGAAACAGAGAUAAGACUAGGUUACAAGGGACCUCCUGACACUGUGUGAUCCAACUUUCCAUUAAAAACAGGGUCUUAGAUUAGGUUAGCUGAGGCCAAAUCAAUUUACAUCUUUAUUAUUUCUAGCAAGAAAGAUUCUGCUAUCUUCAGGCAACUGAUCCUAAUGUUGCUCUCACAAAAAAAAGUUUUUUUGAUAUUCAUGUGGAGCUUCCCUAGGACUUCCCUAGAAGCCAGUUUUGCCCAUUGCUUUUUCUCCUAUCAUAGUGCAUCCUUGUGAAAAGAUGUGUGUCCUCCAGAACUACUUUUUAGGUAUUGGAAGGCAGUGAUUUUAUUUCCCCACACUAAGCCUUCCCUGCUGAAGUCUGAGCAAACGAAGUUCAUUUAUUUGUAAAGUUCUCCACUCCCCUAAUCUUUUUGGUCCCCUCUGGACCAUCUCCAAGCUUUCAACGUCCCUUGAACUGGGAAGAAAGAAACUGAACAGUGUGUUCCAGGUAUGGCCCAACAGGUGCUGAGCUGAGUAGAAAGAUCACAUCUCUUCAUUUACCGGCAAUAGUCUCACUAAUUCAGCCCAGGAUGCUGUUGGCCAUCAUUGCUGCCAGGAUACUUGGCUGGCUCAUGUUCCCCUUGCUGUCUGCCAAGACACCCUGUGCCUUUUCAGCAGAGCAACUGUCCUGCCAGCCAGUGCCCAGCUGGUGCUCCUGCUUGGGAUUAUUCUAUCCCAGGUUCAGGACUUGACAAUUAUCUCUGCUCAACCUCAUGUUAAACUUCAUUCUUGUUGGCCAAAUCUCGACAGCCCAUUGAGGUCUCUAUAUGGUGAUUUUUUUCUUCCAGCACUGCUACCUCUUUAUCCUCAAAUUUGGUGACAGUGCCUUCAGGCCUACUUUCCAGACCACUUAUAAAGCUGAAUUGCAUUGACUUCAGAAGAAAUUAAUUUGUGCCCAGCUGCCAGCAUGACUUUGAGCCUUUUAACUUUUGAGCCUCUGAACUCAACAGUUUAGUCAGUUUCCCAGCCAUUUUGUGUUUCAUCUGCCCAGACCAUAUCUUCCUGACUUGUCAAAAAGGAUUUUGAGGGAGGCUGUGUCAAACACUUUGUGAAAAUCAAGUUGAUGAUGAUAUCCACUACUUUCCUUUCAUCCACUGAGCAUGAUUUUUGGUUAAACAGGAUUGACCCUUCAGUUUGUUCAUGUUGGCUUUUUGCAUUCAGGUUCUUGAAAUGUGUUUGCAUGGAAAUAGCUUUUGUAAGGACCUGUUCCAUAGUUCUCUCAGGGACUGAAACAAGGCUGACUGGUCUGCAAUUUCGUGGAUCUUCCUUCUGGCCCUUUCUGUAGGUAGACAUAGUCUCCAGACUAGAAGAUAUCUCUCCACAAAACUGUUUAGUCUUUUGUUUUUCACUUCCCCAGCAUGGGGAAAUAAUGUGUUUGAUACCAGACAAAUGGCUUAAAGCAGUAUGGAUGUCAACAUGCACAGAACAGAAGACCCUUGUGUGUGUUGAUACCAAUACAAAUUAAACAGAAUGAAAUCUGGGCUGGAAAGGACAGUAGCUCAUGGUGACAUUUGGUCAUCACCUAAAUUCUAAAGGUGUUCUUGGUGAUGGUGCUCAUGUUGAUGGUGAAAUAAUCCUGUCUGCAGGUCUGGGUGAACUAAAGUGCAGUUCUCUGUAGCUUGAGCUAACUUUAAUACUAUUCUUCCAAGUUUCAUUUAGGAGGGACUGGUCUUGCAUGUAUUCAGCAGUCAGGAUUUUGGCCUCUCUGCCAGUAGCUGGAAGCCAGGUCUCUCCAAGGAGUGAUCUUGGUUUCAAGGGACUGUUGUGAUAUUGCACGCAGCUGACUGGUACCUGGGGUCCUUAGAUGGAGUUGUCACCUCGUGAGAUGCACCUACAGUUCUUUUAGGUGAAAGGUAUGUGUAAAGUUUGCACAGACCAGAGCAAUAAGUGGCUUAGUUUUGGACUUAUAUUGAUAUCAAUAAUUAUAUAUAUCCAUAUAUACAUUGUUUAGUCAAUGCAGUUAUUUGGCACGAUUACCCCAAAAUACAGCAACAUGCACUCUCAGACUUGCACUCUUCUUUCAUGUUCCAAAACAAGAUAUACAUCUUUAGCUCAGACUCUCCAGUUUUGAAAUAUUAGGAGCUAUCCAUUGAUACCAUAGUAGUUGUAUUGGAACCUGAGUUUUGCGUUAUAAUAAUCACCACAUUAAAUCGGAAAUACCUUGCCACUGCCAAAGGAUGGGUUUUUCUGUUCCAGCUCAACAAGUGCCCAAGUCCUUCAUAUAUCAGCUGUUGGUGGCUCACAGUCUGGCUUCUGAGAAGAGCAAGAGGAGAAUAGCAAGGGCUGAAUAGGAAGUUGUAGAAAGACCAGGAAGGUUCUCGUGAGGCCUCUGAGCUGCACAUGGGUGUCCUUCUUCUGCACCAAUGGAUUCAAAUUUUAAGGUGUAAUUGUGAUUACAAUUGUAAUUGUAAGGCAAUUGACAUGACAUUGCUUAGCACUGUUAUUAAUAUUCAUAGAGCAGAUAGAUAUGUGUCUUCCCUUUAGGAGAGUAGAAACCCAGCAUCCACCUAGACUCUGUUAAUACCAACCCCAAGUUAUUCCAAGAUGCUAAGAAGGAAAGUGUUCUUUUAUUCCUGCUUUUUCUGUUCUAUAUUUUUUUUUUUCCCUCCUCACUAGAAUUAUCUGUUUCUGGUCUGUCUGGAAAGGGUCAAUAGAAAACAAGAUUCCAUUGGAACAUUGAGACAUGUCAUUGCAACACCCGUGGUCAGUGUUAUGUGAGUAUACAUUAAUAGUCAGCUGAGUCUAAAUAAACAUGCAGAAUGCCUGGUUUUGGCCGAGCAAGAAGUGGCAGCUGUUUGCUCUGGUGUUUCCUCCAUGCCAUGGGCUAUCUCUGGCUUUGCAGAGGUGGAACAGUUUGGGGUGUCAUUUGCCUGAAGCACUUUGUCAUUCCCUCCCACAAGCCCUCCUUCCCUCUGUCUGGCUGCUUGCAGGUUUUCAAUGAAAGGCCCUGUUCACACAUGCGGCAACCCAAAUUAUCUCUAAAUAAACCAGUAUAUGUGGAGAGCAAUUCAUGAGCACUUCCAGCACGGUGAUAAAUGGCAGGCAGGGCCAGUGUGUACAAGGUGGCCCCUCAGGCAUGUGUCUCAAUCAAGUUGUGCAAAGAUACUGUAGAAGGGUGUGGAAACAUGACCUUAAAAUAAGAGCUGUGUCUUUUGGAGCUUUAGAGACCAGAUUGUAAGUGACAGACAUGCAUCAGUCACCUCUUGUCUAGCAUUUUAUUUCCAGAACUUGACAAAUACUUCAAGUUUUACCCCCUAUUCCUCCCUAUAUGAAUACCAGUCUACUUCCUGAAAAAACAACAGUCACCUUAGCCUCUUAAAGACACCUUAAACAGCCAGGUGAGAUAAAUAAUUACAAUUUGAAAAGUGAAUGUACUGACCAGCCGUUUUCCAGCCCUUGCUGACAAAAAUUCUUGAGGUGCAGUUGUGCUUUGCCUUAGCAGAUGUUAUUCUUCUGUGAUGACCAAGAGAGAGAGGAAAAGUCUGCAAAUGCAAGAUCUGUAGGAGGUUGUGGCCAGGUUUAUCCCAGCAGGUUAAAUAGGGACAAGGCAUAACCCUGGGUACUGGUGUAUACCUGUCCAUUCUGUAAGCUGUUAGCACAGCUCCAGCCCCAGCUAGAGCUUCUCCAGACAGUGCCUGGGCACCAUCUGUGGAUGCACACUGGCCAGAGGCCAUCAACAGUAAUAAUUAGCCAGCAGGCACCUUGUUCUGGGGAUGUGAAAGGGCUUGGCUGUCUGGAUAUGAGCAGUUGGGUAGUUGGUUCUGGUGCCAAGGGAUGGAACCAACUUGUCUUAUUUACAUGUAUGAACAAGAUGAAGGUUUUGGAAUACAGGAGCCUCAGUGGUGAGGUAGAACAGAUGUGAAUUUUGCAAUUUCUAUGAAACUUUCAAGUACUGCUUUCAGAUAUUCUCUCUCUUGAAAAUCCUGUGCUUGCUGAAUUUCUAUUAUUGCUCUCACAUGACAAGGAAGGGAAGAAACCCUUGAACUUCACACAGUAGACAUAAAAUAAUGUGGAAGAAAUGUUAAAUUAUGGGAGGAGUUUUGCUCUGGUCUACAGACAAACUAUAGGAGAUUCAUAGAUCACUGAUGAUACAAUUAGAAAGUGUAGUGUAACUUCCUAUUUGUGCAAAAAGGAAGAAGGCACAGAAGGAAAGACAGAUCAAAAAUAUGGGAAUAUUAAACACAAAUAGUAUGCAACCUGAUGUGCAUGUCACAUAGUAAUGUCUGUGCUAUGUACACAUCUGUACUAGUGUCUGUUUUAUUAUUAGGCAUAAUAAAAGGCAUCCACUGUAGUCAAACUGGUCAUGCUUGUUGUUGAAAAAAUUACUAUUUUUCUGCCCUUAAAAAUUCCAGCUGAAAUGGAUCUGAUUCAAUGCUGUAAAGCUCAUCCUUCAUAAACCAGCAGUCCUGGAAUCCAGCACAGCUGAAUUAUAGAUUAAAUGUAUUUUUGCCCAUUAUGUCACUGCAUUGCCUGUACUGGGGAACUCAAAAUUGAGCAUAAUGCUCUAGAUGCAGUCUCACAAGUUUCAAAUAAAUGGGAAUUAAAACUUCUUUAACUUAUACAGUUGUCUCACCAUAGGAAAUAGCCUGGUUGGUCAGCCAAGAGAUCAACAGCACUCUGCUUGUCUACACCGACAUGAUGGGUUAUCUCCAGAGGAGCUGGCGUGUCUUUGGCUAAGGCACUAAGCUAAGAAAUGCUCAGAAAGAAAAGCUAAGAAAUGUGCCUGGCUUGAAAAGUAGAAGGUGGACCUUGGUCCUGCCUGUUUGUACCACAUUGAUGUAUCUUUGUGUCCUGUUGAAAUGGGGUCCCAUGAGCAUAAGACGCGUGGUCUAAACAAAGAAGCAGGCAACAGGGAUUAUUUUGGUAUCUCAGAUGGCCUAGUGUAUAGGAUGGUUCUUUCUCUGUCCUGAAUGUUCUUUGAACCUAUUUCAAUGUUCAUUCAGUUUUUUGAAUCUCCUGCUUUUUAAUAAAACCAGACCUGAAGAGACAUACAACUUGACUGAAGUGCUGUGCUGUAGCUGAACUGCUCUGGUUAGCAGAGCCGCCUAAGUGUUUGCAACAUGUUUGCAGGAUGGUAAAGUAAAGAACUAAGUGAAUAAAUGAGUAGCCCUAAAAUGCUGAAAAUAAACACUCUGUGAUGGAUUGAAGGGCUGGGGGAAAAAUUCCCCCCUCUCCUUGCCUUGUAUCCUCUCACCCCCCAUCCUUUCAAUAUGCUCCCCAGGGUGUGUGAAGGGGAUCCUUACAGGGGGAGUUACAAAGCUCUUGUCGUGAUCCCAAAUGUGCACUGAGCAACCUGGGUGCCUCUCCUCUCAGGCUGGGAGGUCUGAGCUCUGCCAAAAGCUUCUGGCCCCCUCUCCCAGCCUGAUGCUUUGAAAGACUGUCGUUGGCUCCAUGACACUGCGGGUCUGUUGACUUGUGUUUGGAUGUUUGUGCUGGGAUGUGUGCACAACUCAAAAGCAGGUCUGAGGUUAAGUAAAGCCCCUUGCUUGGUGGGGAACCUUGAUCAACAUGUCACAGAACGUGACAACUUCCAUAAUGGUUUUUAAAAAAUGUGUACAGGGUUAGCUGCCAGCUUCCAGGGAGGGAUAUGUGUAACCACUUGAAAUAUUCAACUUCUGAGCUCUGCCAUCUUCUCCACAGCAGUUUUGAAGACUUUGUUUGAUUUCUCUAUGCCAGCCAGUUACUGUACUAUUUAUCUGACAUCUUUAAGUUUUGUGUGGCUUACUGAACGGUUUUUCAUGUCGGAGACUUAAUAUAGGCUUUAGUGUUCUGAUUUUUUUUCUAGUGUUCUAACUGAAAAAGAAUUAUUGGCUUUUAAUUUUUUUAUUAUUUCUGUCUCUAUUUAUGGGCAGAUAUUUAAUACUUUUGAAAAUUUACUCCUUUUAUCAUGUCUUAAUUCAGGCAUCUAAAACCGUGGCCCACUUUGAAUUUAGGCCAAACAGCCCUGCCAUGACAUGACACAGUUUUCUCUUGGUUGGGCACACAGCUUAGCACAGAUGAGUUUGGAGGUGAGUGUGAUAAAAAGAUACUUAGGCUGCAAGGAUAGAAUAAGGUUUUGUCCAAUGUACAUUACUUGUAGCAUACUCUUAUGUCCCUCCAAGACAGGGGAUGUGGAUUGUGCUCUUUAUGAAAGGCCUGUAUAAGCACUAAAUGCUGGAAAUAAAAAGAUGGUUGAGCGUGAUUUUGCAGUCAUUGUGGACUUUUAUUUCAAGAGCGAUGUGACUGCUGGGGUCAGUAAUAAUAACCAGAGUAGGCCUACCUUUCACAUGCACUCAAUAAACAAGUGUUGGGGUAUUUACAUGAAAAGAGGAAUACUUACAAUGCCCAAAGAAGGAUUUUAUUAGAGAGGCAGAAACCCAGAAUGAUACCAUAACCUGCCCACCACCUUCUGAGGUCACAGUCACCUCUUCUGCCAGUAUUGGAGAAAUUUGCCACCAAUCUCAUUUGCUACAUACUUUUCAGUAGUGUACUUCUGCUAUACAUCUUGAAAGAGUUUAGUGUUAAACUGGUUCUCCCAUCCCCUCUGGACCUCAGUGCAAAUGAGAAAUGAGAAUCAGGUGAAAGGCUUAUGAAAACAACUAUUUUUGGCUUAGCCCUGAUAGGACAACAAUUCCGUUGUUCUGCCCUGAUAUUGUCAGUGUGACUCAUCUGUAGAGGACUUUCUGGCCCAUUUUCUUUAAAAAUGUGCUCUAUCCAGAGAACUGACUGGGACUUUCUAAAACUGGAAACACUGAAAAAGAAUAGUUUGCCUGUUUGUUGAAUGUUGGUUAACCCUUUCUAUACCACCUGACCUCAAAAGGUAGAAUAUGUGCUGUCUUAUGCAAGAAGGUGCUUUCAACCAGAAGUGUGUUUUUAUGGACUUUUUCCCCCUUUUUUUCCAGGUGGAUGUGGAUUAUGGAGAGAUCAGGUUUUAAGGCUGUUGUGGAGAUUAAGUUCAGGUAUCCUCAGAGACUGAAUAGCUGAUGGCUACUUCAGCAUGGGAAGAAUGGUCAAGACUGGAUAAUGCCACUCUGAACCUCAUCUGUCCUCUGGUGGUACCUUGCAAGCCUUGGGCGUCAGAGGAUUUUCCUGGUCUUUGAGAUUCCCAAAGCAUGAGGACUGCUGCUGAGCUUUGAGGGUGCCACCACUGACAGAAAUGUGAUGCUCAGCAAGAGCCUGGAGAUAUUUCCUCCCUUAGUCCCUUGUUGUCUAGGAUGCAGAUAUGCCACUUUUCCCCAAACUGGGAAAAUGUUUUCUUCAGUCACUCAAAUACCAGAAAACAAUGCAUUGGAGAGCAAGGGUUAGGAAGAACUCAGUCUUGCCAUCCUCCCAGCGAGGAUAUGUCCCUUCCUUUUCACUUGUGUGUUUUCCCUGAAGCUACAAACUCAGGUUGCAGUUGGAGAAGUGCUUACUUAGUGUGACACUGAAUAAUUUCUCUUUCAAGGGCUUUAAGUACUACAUUGAAUUAGGACUUUAGAAAGGUAAAAGCCAAGCUCCCUUUGCCAAGAGGAGCUUCCAUUCAUAGAGUCAGGAAGUGAUCUGACAUGGACAUUGAUGACCUACUUUGUUAUCUGUAUGUGAAAUCUGGCUCUGCUGAAACCAGUGGCAGAACUGCCAUUGAUUUUAAGAGUUCUGAAUUUCAUUUUCAGUAUGUUUAUUUGCAUUACUUUUUUUCCUAUAAUGUUCGAUAUGUAGGCAGAGAUGUCAGGGGGAAAAUAAUGAUAUGAUUGAGACACACUUUCCAUUAUGGUUAGGGGUGGGCAGAUGUCACUGUGGGAAGAUGCAUUCAGAGUUUAGCCUGGCACUUUGAAAUGCUUUUAAUUUUUUCCUGCCUGCCGUGCUUCAGUCUUCCAGGUUAAACUUGUGUAUGAAUGGCAGGUCUUAUUAUUUUGAGUAUUCUAUGUUUUUCUUCAUUAUUUAGAUACCAAACUUGCAAAACAUGCCUCUUAGCAGGGCAAUUCAUCCUCUACUGGAUCUUAAUGAGACCAGUUCUUCCUUUCCUGGGAAAGUAUGUGCCUCUGGUGAGAGAAGCCCACCUUUCACAAACCACAGCUAAAGCUUGUUUUUUCACUGAAGCACAAGCACACAGCCACUUGCAAAUGUCAGUUUUCUUAGCAUGGAGCAAAUAUACAUUUUGUAAAUGUGGGACAGACAUGUUUUGAUGUGGGUCUUGAACAGGGCUUCAGUAUAGAGAUAGCUCAUCUUUAAUUUAUAGUUACAUGCAACUGAACCAUUCCAGGAAAAGCCAUUUUGUGGUUCUUGGGCCAGGGAAGAAGGAGGAGGAGGAGGAGGAUAAAAACCUUCUACCCUAAACAGUAACAGAUAGGACAGGCAGAACAGAUCUAUGUUCCCUAAAUGAAAACUUAGUAAAGAGCUCUUAAAAUGUUUCUCAGUAUUAAAAUCACUGAGAGAUUUGUGCUAAAACUCUUUCAGGUAUCAGCUCUUCUUUGGGGAAAAAAAUAAACACUCCUUUUUUUGUUUGCUACCUCUGUUGCCACAAGCAAAUUUAGUUCAAUUCAGCUGGCAGCCAGUCACCAGUGGUGCUCCCCAGGACUCAGUACUGGGGCCAGUUCUUCUUAAACUCUUUAUCAAUUAUAUUGAUGAGGGCAUUGAGGGCACACAGUAAGUUUGUGGACAACAUGAAACUGGAUGGGACUGUUGAUCUGCCAAAAGCAUCUGGAAAGGGAUCUGCAAAGGAAUCUGAACAGGCUGGGUUGAUGGGCUGAGGCCAAUUGUAUGAGGUUCAACAAGGCCAAGUGCCAGGUCCUGCACUUGGGUCACAACAACCCACUGCAGUGAUACAGGGUAGGGGCAGAAUGGCUGGAAAGCUGCCCAAAGGAAAAGAACCUCUGAUCAGCAGUGGCUGAACAUGAGUCAGUGUGCCCAGGUGGCCAAGAAGGCCAAUGGCACCUGGUCUGCAUCCAAAAGAGUGUGGCCAGCAGGACCAGGGCAGUGAUUGUCCCCCUGUGCUGGGCACUGGUGAGGUCACACCUCAAUCCUGGAUUCAGUUUGGGGCCCCUCACUGCAAGAAAGACACAGAGGGGCUGGAGUGUCCAGAGAAGGGCCGUGGAGCUGGGGAAGGGGCUGGAGCACAAGUCCUGUGAGGAGCAGCUGAGGGAGCUGGGGGUGU